rnacentral:lncRNA from 1 species
UUUUUUCUAACUGGUGCAGGUCUUGGGAUCUGGUGUCGGGUACUCCCGUGCGCGCUCCCUCGACCAUCCUGGGUACCCUGUGCCGGAAGUACUUCCCCAGCCUCGUGGAGUUGGCGUCGGGGGCCCGCGAGCCGGCCACCACCUGGGAUAGGUACGCUUUAGGGGAGGACGACACGUACAACCCCCAGGAGAGGAUACUGGCCGAGUUUUGGGUAAGUUCCUUUCGCACAACAAUAAUUCACCCAUUACAUUAAAAUCUAUUUUUUUUUAAAUAAUGAUUGGAUGUAUUAACUUUUGUGCAGAGGUACUUCAGGGUGGAGGACGAAGACGUGGCCCUGGCUGAGUCUGUGGCGCACGCCUCCUGUAGGAAGUAUGUCACCGACAUGCACCACGAGGCGCGCGUCCAGGCAGUGAUAGACUUCUACGCGUCGGCGCGUAGUAUGACUAUCACGAAGGCUCAGGCGCGGACGAUGACGAUGACUCAGGAGCAGUACUUGGAGGUAGAUGAAUAACAUUCAGAUUGUCUCUUUUUUGAAUUUAAUAUAUUCAAUUAUAUCUUCAUAUCUGUCAAACACUCAUUGUCUUAUAGGUGAUUCCCUGGUGGUGUCGGGCGCAUGCCGAUGCCUGGGCCGCGAUCGUGGGUAGGUGGUUCACGCAGGACUACCUAGACAGGCACGAGUCUCACCACCAAGGCAGCAAGAGCCUCCCCGCCUUCAAAAAAUCAUAUGUAAGUGAUUUGUCUUCUAUUUAGUUUCGCGUUUAAUGUAUGCUUGAUUACUCACCCUCUGUCGCUUUUCUCGUAGGAGGCUGCGCACCCGGACGAGGAGGUGUCCAUGUUCACGGCUUGGGCUGCGUCUCACCAGACUGCAGGCCAACGCAUCUGGGACGCAGCUGCCUCUCGCGAGGCAUACUCCGACCCCAACGUGUACGAUAAGGUCCAGGAGUACACGUCGGCGGUACGGGAGCGGCACAGGCCAGAGUACGACGUCCGCACCGAGCCACUAGAUGCCGAGGCUGUCAUGAGGCUCGGUGGCGGUAGGAAGCACGGCCGGGCCUGGAUCGCAAACGCCGCCAUCGACCCCAACACCACCCCCACUCUCAGCCAGCUCAGAGCACAGAGCACGAGCUCCAGCCAGCCCAUCCGUGCACGGCCGACUCCGACAGUGAGCAUGUUAGCUUCGCUCCAGGUAAUUCUAGGUUCUCUCAUAGUAAAUUAAUAUUCUCGCAACUGAAUUACAUUUGCAUUACUGAAACAUUGGAGUGUAAUCUUGCAGGACGACAACGCCCAGAAGACGGAGCAGAUCACGGCCCUCACUGCUCAGCUGGAGGCUGAGCGUCUCGCGCGAGAGGCCCAGGACCAGAGGAUGGCUGAGAUGAUGAGGGUCCUGGCCGCUCUGGGGCAGCAUACAGGUGUGGACGUCACGAUGUCAGCUCCAGCGCCUCAGCUUCCGACGCCGUUUAGUUCUACUGUAAGUGUCAAAGUUAACUUCUUCUUUGUAACUGUAGUGCAGAAAUAAUUACUGUAAUCUCACAUAAACAUCUAACUGUUUGUGCAGCCUCAGUCGAUAGCGGGAUCCAAUAACCCGCCUCGUACGUCACCGGAUCCUGGAGCCUUCGACACACCACCCUCGACGCAGAGGCAGGACGGCUGGGGACGAUGGUGACUUCUCGCAACCCUAUGGUGCGUACGUGUCGGCGGUUUGAAACUUUGGUUCGAUUUGGUGAACUUGUGGACUACUGGAUGGUCGUGAUAUAUAUACAUGAUCUUCGUGAUAUAUAUAUAUAUGUGAUGUUCGUGAGAUGUAUGUGCUCGUUGUCGACUCUGUGUGUGUGAAGGUAUAUAUAUGUAUCUGUCUAUUGUCUGGAUGCAAAUAAACAAAAAAAAAUUAAAAUUUCUCUGGUCUUUGCCGAGGGCCUUGACCAUAGCCCUCGGCAAAGAUUUUAAAUUUUUAUUUGGGUAAUUUCUUUGCCGAGAGCUACCAUGCAGGCCCUCGGCAAAGAAUUCUCCAGAAAAAAUAAAAAAAGAUACUUUGCCGAGGGCCUGCAUGGUAGCUCUCGGCAAAGAAAUUACCCAAAUAAAAAUUUAAAAUUUCUUUGCCGAGGGCCUGUAUGGGAACCCUCGGCAAAGAAUUUACCAAAAUAAAAAUUUAAAAAAUUCUUUGUCGAGGGCCCAACGUUCGGCCCUUGGCAAAGACGCCGUCAGUUACAGCCAGUGGCCUAACGGCAUCUUUUUUUCGCCGAAGGCCGGCGUCAGCCCUCGGCAAAAUCUUUGCCGAGUGCCCGACAGAAGGCCCUCGGCAAAGACCCCUUUGCCGACGGGAAAUUUCCCGACGGCUCUUUGCCGAAGGCAGCCCUCGGCAAAGCCUUUGCCGAGGGUCUUAUAGCCUUUGCCGAAGGCUGGAAGCCCUCGGCAAAUCCUCUCUACAGUAGUGCUACGAUAAUUUCCAUCAUGCAUGACACCCAUGAAACCCACCUUUCUGAUCUUAAGUACAAGAGUCAAAUUGAUUAGCCACACCAAAACUUGAGCCCCUGAUCCAACCAAAGCGCAUGAGUAAAGGAAAGGCCGCCAUCCCAUGUCUCCAUCUCCGGUUUUAUCGAUGGGAUCAUCGCCAUCAACAGCAGGUUGACAAGGAGGGAAAAUCGCGCUGCCAAAAGGACGUUGGCAACAACCGUACAACUAGGUACCUUCCCCAACCCUUCGCGACAAGGGCCUGCUCCACAUAGACACGGAUCCCCACACCUAAAGCAUAAUGAUUUCCUCCAUUACUAAUGAAGGUACGUAAACUCAAGAGAUCUACUAAUCUAAGUCUAAGAUCAUGUGUCCUAAUCCUGUUUCAAUUUUAAUCCUAAGUAAUUUCUAACAGUUUGUUAUCAGGAUCGGUAUAAAUAAAUAUACUCUUAAGUUAUAUGCAUGUACCAGUGCAAUUCCCACUGAUGAGCAUAACAUGGAAAGUCAAGAUAGAACUUUCAUCAUAAUCAUCUAUGGACAAACUAAUUCCGACCUAACAUGUCAGCAUCAAACUCUUGGCUGACUUAUAUAAAAGAUCAAAAUUACAAUGUAAGGAGAAGUUGUCAAUGACUUUGUUUUUCCUAUUGCAGCGCACGAGCAUAUUUUGCUAGUAAAUAUAAUAUAAAAAUAUAUCUUAUGAAAAAAUUAAUAAUAGUCAUUUGAUAUUAUAAAUAUUAGUAUUUUUUAUGUAUAGUCAAAUUUAAAAUGCUUUAACAUUAAUACUAUGCUAGAAGCCUAGAAUUGCAUUCUUAGGCUGUCUCCAACAACCACUGCCCAAACACAACACGCAUUCUCUGAUAUAGGUCGAGUACAGUGUAUAGGUUUCCCACCCAAAUCGCUCCUUCUCCAACAGAGUGCGCCCCAAAUCCUGCCGCCUACUCCCAUAGAUGGUUCACCUCUUCCACGCCGCCUGCUCCGCGGGCCGGUUGCCCCUCGCCGCGCUGGCCACGCCCCACCGCGGCCGCUCCUCGUCUUCUCCAUCUCCUUCGCAGGGGACAAGCGGGUGUAGGGCGCCGCCGCCAACCCCGCCGUAGAAGACGCCGCCGUCGGUGCUCCCACAGUCCACGCGGGCCCUGCCAUCUCCUCGCCUCUUCCUGCGGAAGCCCGAGCUAGGAGGUCGCCGGCUGCUUCAUCUUCUACAGCCGGAGAAGAUGGUGAGCGGCUCCGCCAUCGACGCUGCCGCCGUGGACAUGGCCCCACCAUCUCCUUGCCCUCGUAGAUGACUUAUGCGCGCUGGCUUCUCCUCCCUUUGCACCUCGCCAUGGGCCACUAUGCGCCACGGAUUAGAUUCUUUGCGAGCACGCGACGCUUCUUUGCGUUUCCAUUCGGCCGUUACCCAAAAUAGGUCAUGCGUUUGAGUCUUCCAUUGGAGGCUGAUUUUGGUAUGCAAAGUAUUGUGCAGGACCUAUUUUUGCAUUUGGGUCUUAUACAGUCUUAGAACAUAGUCAAUUGGAAAAUAAACUUGUUUUACCAUGUGUAACCAUAUCUUAUAUUUGAAAUUUCAUGUUGACAAAUAAAUAUUUAAUAGAAAAUUGCUCCCGUGCUUUUGUCAUAGACUCGUAGUUGACCGUACGAGAUCGGAAGGGACGAAACAAUCAGCUAUCGUCCGGAUUUUAUCCCCUACCUUUCAGGCUUGUAAACAACGCUGGCAAGUUUUAUCCAUAUUAUGAAGUUAUAUUUAUUAUAUUUGUUCAUUAAAACCAAUAAACUAAAUCGCUACUACCUCUCUUAUGUCCUGUAAUAUACUGUAUUUUAAAAAUUUUAAGACAAAUUUUUAAAAAAAUUAAGAGAAAACUUAAAAGUGUAACACCCCAAAAUUUGGUCCUUUCAAAAUAGAGCUAAAAUAAUUUAAUUUGGUAUUUUUGAGCUCAUGAAAAUAUAGGAAAAAUAAUAUUUUUUAGUAAAUUAAAAUUUAUCAUAAGGCAUAGUAAUAUUAUUAUGCAUACAUGUUGGUGCAUAAGAUUUGAUGUAAUGUUUGCUUAUUGCUUCUUUGUGUGUUGACAGUGAGUGGAGUGUUUAAAAUACGUUAGUAGGUCGAUCUCCCUUCUUCGGCACGGAUUUAUCUUUUUUUCUACAAUCAAAUUCCUUGUUUUCUAGCCUAUGCUUUUGUUUCGAGUUUCCCAAAAUCUUUUCUUUGUAACCCAAAUCAUUCCUUUCAGUUCCUCAACCAUCAAUCAAUCUCUAAAAACUGACCAAGAAUUAUUCUAACACUUUUUAAGGAACUUGUUCCCACUUGACUAUGAGCAUAAUCUAAUUUUUAGAUGCUCCGAAUUAUCUUAUCAUGAGCUCCAAAUACUUUAUUUGGGUUCCUCAUGUUUCAUAAUAUCUCCAAGAAUUUUUCCUGAAUUUUCAGAGCUUUUGAAAUAUUUUUCAUGAAUUAAAUAAUAAUUCUGGACUUUUCUAGAAAUAUCUUAUUCACAAAAAUAAUUAAUUUCGGAAAUAAUAAAUCUUUCAUUCUACCCCAACGCUGAGCCCAUGAUCUCAAAGGCCAAGGUAUUUAUUUACUAGUGGGCUUUAAUAAUUAAUUAGGCCUAUUAGUAAAGGUGGAAGGGGCAACAUCAAUUAGUACCAUAUUGCUAAUUGAUGUAGUUGUGGAGAGUUUUCCUCCAUAUAUAUAUAUAUAUAUAUAUAUAUGUACCAACCCCUUAGGUUAAGUACAUCAAAACUACGAGGAGCCCCUAGUUUGGGAAUUCCUAAGGUAGAUCAACAAGAAAGCCGACACCAUGCCCGAUCGCCCUCAGUCCUUGGUCCAAGGUCAAGCCGCCCUCGGCUGCUGUGUCACACCCGGUUUUAAGGAACAAAACCAGACUAGCUGUAUGUGUGUCCAGGAAGUCCACACAUACAACAACAGAAAGGAAUAGUAUCAAAAACAAUGUUGUAUAGCGGAAACAUACAUAUAAUAGACAUUUACAUCAGAGUAUCGCGGAAUGAUAACUAAUCUUUAGGCUCAAUCUUUACAGGGACGGCUGACUGGGGGUAACAUAUGCCUAACACUUCUUGUAUCCUAAUAACAUCCUUCGUGACUCCAUCACCCUUCUGAUCAACUCUUUCUAGUAGACUGGAGUGGUGAGAAAUAGCAAGAGUGAGCACAUAUCGUACUCAACAAGUAUAACCAGAGGUUCAUGAGGCUCAAAUAGCUGACACUGGUUUGACUGCAUUUAGCUUUUAAUAGUGGAUAGCAUGUUCUUAAUUAAAUAGCAAUUGUCAAGGUAGCAUAAGUAAUCCAUUAAUCCCAUGAUCAAGUGUAAGCAUAAUUAAUUCAUAGCAUAAACGAUAGUCAAAUAAACAUAACAACUUAAUAAGCUCAUCGUCGGCGCAGCAAGAACCCCCAAGGCCGCUCAUAACCGUGAGCAUGGCUAGUAUACCAGUUUUACACUCUGCAGAGGUUGUACAUCUUUACCCAUGAGUCAUGAUUUACCCUUUCGCCCGAGGUAGCUAAUCUCUUAACCCCCUUCCUAGGGAGGUCGGCAGGGAUCACUAUGAAGCCUUUCAAAAGUUCGUCUAACAUGUUAGGGCCGCAAGGUUUCCUUUGCGAGCAGAUAUAGAUACCCCCCUUCCGAAUGGCACAAUGACGCGCAGCCUAUACACAUAGGGACAGGGGCUCGCACUAUACCCGUGUCGGUUCAGCCCCUCCGCCCUUUCGGGUAACCUCUAACAAGCUAAAAAAGGUCUUCAUACUGAGCUAAAGCCAGAGCCAUUAUAGCCCUCAUGGUUGCACUGUUGUCCCGGUGAUCACUUACAGACAAGAUCUCAUAUAGUUAUUUGUCAUCAUUUAACGUUCAUUGCAUAGCUAUUAAUCAUCUUACAAGAUCAUAGAUUAUAUCAAGCACUAGCACAUCUACACCAAAUGCAUAUCAAGUAGGUAGCAAGGAAUACAGGUAACAAUCAUCUAUGAUUUUGCUAAGGUCGACAAGAUGAUAGCAUGCAUAUGAUAUAUAUGUGUAGUUAUAAGUGAAUAGGUAACAAGGAUGAUCCCAAGUUAUACUUGCCUUAAACACUUGCUUAAUUCUCACACCAUUAGCUUUUGGUCAUCAUCUUCUGAUCUUCAGCGCCCACAAACGGUUCUCGUCUACUCGUAGCAAGCACCACACAUAGGCAAACAUACAAGCAACAAACAGAAAUAACUAAGAACAGUACACCACACAAGAUCACGCAAUGUACUAAAGGAGAACAAAUUACUACAGGCACAAGAUGACAAAAAAACGCCGAUAACAGAACUACGCUUAAAACAAACGACUAUGAGAAAAUUCACAUCAUAACAGUAAAGACUAUAUGCUUGCUUUAUUAUAAUUACAAAACCAUAUGAAGUAUAUUAAUUCAGAUUAGUCACUAUGCAUUUCAAUUGAAAGACCAAGUUUUGAAUCUAGUAAUUUUAAUUAUAGAUAUUUUAAUGCCUUUUUAUAUACCAAUCAAUUAUACUUUAAUUUGCAAAAACAAAGUAAUAUUUGAGAGCAUAUAAUUAAUGGAAUUUUAUCUGAUGCAUUGUUAAACUAAGCAAGUUAUAAAUUAAAAAUAUAUUUCUAUAUUGUUUUAAUUUAGAAAGCAGUGUGAACAGAGAGUAGUCAAAAUUAAUAAAUAAAUUAAAAAUUUUAGAAAACAUGAAAUACGUUCAGAUGCGACAUAGAAAUAAUAGAUUAAGAUGGGACUAAAGCGAUUCAGAUAUGAUAGGAAUAACAUAAUUGAGCAUAUAUAACUACGGAGACUCAAUGGUUGCCUGAACAAGUAUACACAAAAUGUAUUUUUUUUCUUGAUUGAGGAAUAGAUAGAUAAUGCUAAUUUAUUAUGCAUGAAUGACAUACUCAUGACAUCAGCAUAAGGGUUAAUCAAUAAAAUAAUAUGGCAAGGGACUAAUCUGGCCGCUAACCUUCAGUUAAUCAGGAUGCACAUUUGCAUGCUGCACGAUAUAGCUUUCCUGGAGUAGCAAGGAUUGGGCAAUCGUACGUCAUGCAGUUGCAGCAGCUGAGAUGACUUUGUGCUUGGUAAAAGCGUGAAAUAACAGCAUGUCUAGCUUCAUGGUUGGAUUGCAUGCAGUUACUAGAUGACAACUGCCCGUACAGAGAAGCACAAAUUCAUGGAGGUGCUCACCGAACAUAGAACGAUGAUGGAGAUGGCAGCCAGCUUGGACAUCCCACAUACGUGGUGCUCCAUGGACUUGAGAGCGGAGAUCAUGCAGAGCAUCUAGGCAUGGCUGAUGGCUACGGGCAGUCUUCACUUAGAUCAAUUAGCUCCCAUGGUGAACAGAUGACAAUGAGCCAUGGAUCGAGAUCAACUCUGUACCUGCUUGGCAAAACUUCCCGGCGGCGCGGCAAGAUGGAGGUGCGGCGCAUGAUGAGAGUUAGGGCAUAGGAUGGAUGAGAAAUUAACCAAAUAGGACAUAAAGAUAUGUAUAUGUACUGUUUGUGUGGGUUUAUUAUGGCCGAGAUAUACGUGUUAACGUUUCUUCACGUACGAGUCCUGAGUUGACGUGGUGGUCGAGUCCAUCUUCAACACGUACGACAGUAGUGGUGGUUGUCCACGCGACUUCAUAUGGUAGUAUAUAUACUCCGUAUAUAUAUUUCUCAUGCUUGGGAUAAGAAUUAAGAAAAAAAAUGGGCAUGCAGCAAAGCAGGGACACGAUAGAGGGAGCGUACAAGAUAGGAGAAGGAAACAAAAAUAAAGAAACUUGCAUCUGAGUAGAAAGCUAAUUGAACCAGUUAUUUGCUUCCUGAAACAUCACGUCAAAACUUAGAUCCAAUGAAACAAGAAAACAAUAGAUAGGGCAAGUAUUAAUGGGAGAGAGAGGGUAGUACGGGCCUUCUUCUAUCCAAUAAUAAAAGAGUAAAAAAAAUGUUUGGCCAAAAGUGAUUUAGGGUCAAGAUUAAUUCGGAACAAUUUGAAAAUUAACAUUUUUCUACAACUAAAUUUGCACUAACUCAAACUAAACUUAGUAAAUUUUAUACAAAUAUCGAAAUAUUUAUUUUUGUUAAUAUUUUCUAUGCACAGCCCAAAAUCAAAAUUUUUAGGGUGUGACAUGCUCUCCACCAGCCGAAACUCUAAUUGGCCAAAGUCAAGUUCACGUACAACACAAGGAAGAAGGUGCAUGUUCUGCAGCUCAUCUAUUCAUUCAAUUAUUCCAAAAAUCCAUACCAUCUUAAUCGUGUAUCAUUUAGUUAUUCUAAGUCUAAUUUAAUCCAUUCAACCAUGUUAGAAUUUUGUAGAUUUAAUCUACGUACUAGUACCUGUAUCUUCACGUGUUGCGCUAUAUUUAUAAAUCUUAUUAAUUUAAAUGCUAGAUUGAUUAAUGUUUAUGUACAAUUACUUUUCUAAUUUAGAAGCGAACAUACUAAAUAUUUCUGAAUUUUAUAAUCUAAAAUAUACUAAACGUUGAUGUUUGUGUGCAACUGGUUUUCUAAUUUAAAAUCCCUAUAGAUUUUAUAUUUUGGUGUUUUAUAUAUAAAUAUUAAUAUGGUAAGUUACUAACAUAAUCUUAUUUCUAAAUAAUAAAUUGCUUAGCUCAAACAUGUUUCAUAUAUGAAAUUCUAAUUAGACUAAAUACUCUCACAUAUUUAUUUCUUUUGCAAUUUGCAAAGAUAAAGCUUAAUAAUUUAUUUAGUAAAUUAGGUGAUAACAUUUAUAAAAAAAUAUAUGAUUAGCAUCAACUCAGAUUUCAAGUUUAAAUAUGAUUUAUUUUGAGUUAAUGUUACUCACAUUGUUUUUCUUAAUUAAUAUAAAUCAAGCUUAUAGUUGUUUGAUUUACGGUAUAAAUUAUUUUGGCAAUUGUUCCUUUUACAUCGUAGCUUCGACCUCGAUGGUUCUUGCGUUUUUGUGACCGUGAUCAAAUUAGAGUGCUUUUCACGUCUUUGUGUCCGUAGCGAUAGAUUAGUUUUUAAACCUUUUUAUUGUUUGGUGUACUGUACUAAUUAUAGCUUUGUUUGCUUCAUGUAUGUUUGGCUCCUGUUUGCUUGUGUGUUGCUAUUCGAUGAUCGAGUUUAGACGGUGAGCAAUUCGUAAUGAACAAGAGUGCUUUAGUGAUCAAGAUCAGAGCCUUGACAACUAGUAAGACCAACAGGAUCAACAAGAGCAUUUGGAUUAAGGCAAGUAUAGCAUUUGGAUUUUAUUUCUGUGACCAUGAUCGUAUGACUAGAUUAAUGUUAAGUAAUAAACAAUAAAAAUGACUGUUUAGCAACUUAAGGAUUUAUCUGUACGUGAUCACCCGGGACAACAGUGCAACCAUGAGGGCUAUAAUGGCUCUGGCUUUAGCUCAGUAUGAAGACCUUUUCUAGCUUGUUAGCGGUUACCCGAAAGGGCGCUAGAGGGGCUGAACCGACACGGGUAUAGUGCGAGCCCCUGUCCCUAUGUGUAUAGGCUGCGCGUCAUUGUGCCAUUCGGAAGGGGGUAUCUAUAUCUGCUCGCGGUGGAAACCUCGCGGCCCUAACAUGUUAGACUAACUUUUGAAAGGCUUCAUAGUGAUCCCUGCCGACCUUCCUUGGUAGUGCGUUAAGAGGCUGAUCACCUCGGGCGAAAGGGUAAAUCAUGACUCAUGGGUAAAGAUGUACAACCUCUGUAGAGUGUUAAAACUAGUAUACUAGCCGAGCUCACGGUCAGGAGCGACCUUGGGGACAUCUACAUUAAGGGUGAUGAAUCUUGUGUGUUAAAUAUGCUCAUUGUUUAUUGUUUAAUGCUCAACAUUAUUUAUGUCGCAUUGAUCAUGAGAUUGUGGGAGCUAUACAAUCUAGUUGCUAUACUUGUGGAGUUCGACAUGGACUCACUCUUGCUAUUUCCCCACACCCCUCAGGAGAAGUUUUGGGCUUGUGAUCAACCAGUCAGUUGGAUCCUGUAGAGAGAAGUUAAUACCCGAAGUUUGGAGUUGUCUAUCCGCUGUUUGCUAUCACAGGUUAUAUCUUUUAUACUAAGUACGUUAUAUAUUUAUGCAUUGUCUUUUGAUAUUACCCUUAUUUGUAACUAUAUGUGAGACUUGGCUUCUAAAACUCACAUAUAGUGCAUAUCUGAUUUUGUCCUUAAAAUCGGGUAUUACAAAAAGACACAUAUCUAUUUUAUUUUCUAAUCAGACGAUAUCAACAACUUGAUUAAUGAUGAUUGAUUAAUAAAUAAAAGUACUUAAUGUAAAAAUUUGUUUUUCCCCAUAGAAUAUAUUGUGUUUAUUUAAAGAUAAAUUUUGAACACUGAAAUGAACUAUACUAGGUGAAUUCCCCGCGCGUUGCUGCGGGAUUUUUUUAAAAAUAAAUUAUUAUAUACAUAACAUUACUAUAUGGUAUUUAGUCUAUUAUGUAUGUAUACAUAUGAAUUGGACUUGCAUGUAUUUUAUUGUAUUAGAUUAGUAAAAAAUUGCUAAGCUAAUAAAACAAAAACUAAUAUUUGAUUACAUUAUAGAGGAAUUAAUUGGUGAUAAAACAAAUAAUGUAUGUACAUGACUUGUAUGUGAAUAUAUUAAAGAUUUAAAGUAUUUCACAUAAUAUAGAUGGCAUGGUUAUUUUUUUAUAAUUAAUAUGGAAUGACAUGGACUUAGUGGGGAAUGAUGUGGACAUCUUGCAUGAAGAGAUAAAAUAUUUAGUGGGUCACUUAGUGGGAAAUGAUGUGGCCACCUUGCAUGAAGGGAGAAUUCAUCUAAUGGGGUUUAGCUUUAUAAGAGUUAUAGAUUACAUGAUGGAGGGAGUAUUUACUACCCAACCAAAGAUCCCUCUACCGUUGUGUUUGAUAUUCCCGCGCACUACAAGUUAUCAUUGGUAUCCAAAGAUGGAGGAGACGAUAAUCUAUUUUGUCCGUACACACGCGUCAGCCUUUUGACCAAGAUAUUAUUUCUGUAUUUUUAUUUGUAUAUACGAUUAUAAGACAGCGAUAGGCAACGGAAUGAGACAUCGAAGGAACGGAAUAUAGACGAAGAUGUACUAUUAUGUAUACUAUACCUUCACACUAAAUUAGCUGAUAAUAUAAAUUCUGUAGGAGUAUAUACGCUGAUAAGUACACAGCCAAACAGACGAAGUUGACACGUCCAUGGUUGAUGACACCUUCGCACUAACGAACGACCACAUACGAACAAAUUAAUGAAUUGACUUUGAAAGAAGUAAAAGAAGCCAAAACAAUUUAUUUUUGUCGAACCAAGAAAUUUGGUCUUUGUUCCAAAUUUCAUCAAAAACUUGUUCGUUCUAGCAAACUCAAGUUAUAUCGUGCUAUAUCCUGUAAUAUAGUGAAUUUUAAAAAUUUUAAAACAUUUUUUCUAAAAAAUAAGAGAAAAUUUAAAAGACACAUGUACGUUUAUUUUAUUUCCUAAUUAGACGGUAUCAUCAACAUGAUUAAUGGUGAUUGAUAGAUAAAUGGGAAGUAUUUAAUGUAACAUUUUGUUUCUUCCAUAGAAUAUAUUGUAUUUAAAGAUAAAUUUUGAAUGCGGAAAUAAAUUAUAUAUACUAGGAGGAUUUUCUGCGCGUUGCCGCGGGUAUGAAGCAGUAAUCUAUAUGUGUGGUGUUAGUAAUGCAGGAACAUGAUAUAAUAUAUGUGUAGAUUUAUUAGUAUAAUCGUGGACAUUAUAUCUAUAGUGGCCGGUGUUUCUAGCUGAUGUUGAUAUCAUAAUUCUUGUAUCAGUGAACUUUAAUUGCAAAUAAUAGUGGAUUGCUGAGGUGGACACCUUGCAUGUCAAGAGAAAUUGCUAGUGACAAAUUAUAAUGGAUUGUUGAGGUGGACGUCUUGCAUGUUAAAAGAAAUAGCUAGUGGGAUUUUACUUUAUAAGAGUUAUAGAAGUGGAUUGAUGAGGUGGACAUCUUACAUGUCAAAAGAAAUUGCUAGUGACAAAUUAUAGUGGAUUGCUGAGGUGGAUGUCUUACAUGUUACGAGAAAUAGUUAGUGGGUUUUUGCUUUAUAAGAAUUACAGAUUACAAAAUGGAGGGAGUAUUUAGUACCCAACCAAAGAUCCCUCCACCGUUGUGUUUGAUAUUCCCGCGCACUACAAGUUAUCAUUGGUAUCCAAAGAUGGAGGAGACGAUAAUCUAUUUUGUCCGUACAUACAUCAGCCUUUGGCCAAGAUAUUAUUUCUGUAUUUUUGUUUGUAUAUAUACGCUUAUAAUGUGGCUCGCGAUUUUGUCGAGUCUACGUUUCUUAAUGACAGGCCAUGAGGCCCAAAGUGAACUCAAAAAGACAGCGAUAGGCAACGGAAUGAGACAUCGAAGGAACGGAAUAUAGAUGAAGAUGUACUAUUAUGUAUACUAGUACACCUUCACACUUAAUUAGCUGAUAACAAAAUUCUGUAGGAGUAUAUACGCUGAUAAGUACAGCCAAACAGACGAAGUUGACACGUCCAUGGUUGAUGACACCUUCGCACUAACGAACGACCACAUACGAACAAAUAAAUUAAUGAAUUGAUUUUGAAAGAAGUAAAAGAAGCCAAAACAAUUUAUUUUUGUCGAACCAAGAAAUUUGGUCUUUAAACUUGUUCGUUCUAGCGAACUCACGUUUCUAUAGCAAUGAUAAAACUUUUGAACUUACACAAUGCAGGGAAAACCUAAAGGCAAAGUGAAAGCAAAAACAGUCCUUAACAUAGUGAAAGGUUGACAUUGGAAGAUUUGAUGCGGGUCCGAAGUUCCAAAGAUUGUAAGUCGAAGUCGGAAAAAAUAACUCGACCUAUGGGGGUAAGACAGCCCCGGGUAUUGUGUUUAAGAAAAAAAAAAUUAAGUCGAGAAAAUCCCUAAACCUCUACCUUACCCAUACACAAUGGUAUCACAGCUCCUAUGACGCUGGCUGAUCUUAGACCUGUACUUUAACAUAGAGCAGACGAGAAGAUUUUGUCAACAUGCAGAUAAACUAACGCCUCCUCCCAUCAACAAAUCCGCCUUCCAAAGAGUUCGAACUGUGGCCGGUAGGAUGCAAAGCGCACCGUCCAAGCAACUGGUCUAGCGUAUAUCAGAAGUAGGUCGUAAAUUCCAAACAAGACUGCUUCAAAUCAACUCUAAAAAAUUUGAAAUUUUGUACAAACCUUGAAUAAACCAUUUAUAAAAGAUAACCCCCAAGAGAUCAAUACUACCACGUAAAGCAUUUUGCAUGCGGCCACAUUUGUUUUCCACAUACGCCCAGCAAAGUCUGCCUCCAAGUCUAAGCAUCAAUGAUUCUGAUUUUUUUUUUUUUUUGAAGAUGCUUGUCUGUGAAAAUAGGUUUAGAAAAUAAAAAAAGGGCCUAGGCCCGGCGUCGAACUCGCUUCCGGAAGCGUCGCCACCGCUGCCCAUCCACUCUAAACACGCGGCUGUCGUCACCGAGGCCGCUCGCAGCCAGGUAGCCACCCCACUGUCGCCGGAUCUUGCUGUGGAUCCCUCCACCGCCGGAUCAAGCCAUGGAUCUCUCCAUUGUGCCGCCGUGAGGCCGUGUCACUGCGCACUCCUGCGUUGCGCCACGCCGUUGCGAGGCUCCUGGGUGCCAAUCUAGAUAACCCGGGUUGUCAUCCACUCGAUCGACCUGUCUUAAUAUAAACCAAAUACUGAGGACCCACAGGAAAGUAUCAUCUGCACCUCGUCUUAAAGACCUUUUACAGUUGAGUUACACCAACGAGCCAAUCAUCAAGCGACUUACAACACAAUCUUAUAGUGAACAAAAAAAUUUCAAACUAAAACAUCAUUGACCAUAAAAGAAAUUAACCUGCAAGAAGACAUCGGACGAGUUGGAGAUGAGCUCACUUGAUUGGAUUGGGAGAGCGUGUGAGAGUGAUUAGAGAUAGAGAGCUUUGAUGAGUGAUCCAACUGUGGAUUAGUAUCAUACUAGUUUUUAUCUAGACAUGUGAGGGUGUUAGGUCCUAGGGUUAAGGUUAAACAUUUUAAACUUCAAAAUAUUCAUCAGAUGCUCCAUCAAUUAUGAUGGACUCUCCUUCAAAAAUAUUCCCAAAGCUAGCAAGUUUGGGUUCGGCUAUAAGAGAAUUGAUGGAUGAUCCGAUAAACUUGUCGGACGAUCCAAAAAAAUGGACGAUAUGUGGUUCUAGGAACAUGCCACAGAACGAUCGGUGGGUGAGCUGUGUUUCACAGACACUCCGCGGAAUCGACAUUUGCUCCAUGGUGAACUAGGUGCUACCGAGUUCUCUGGAAACCAAUUUUAGUUAUUGACGCGCAGUCCAUGGAUCCUCAUGAAUGUUCCAUGAACAGUGAAGACUAAGUGUUUGGCUGUGAUUUCUGGCCAAGCGUUGUGGUUGACGUAUGAUCUGUAAGAUGUGAUGGAUGCUUCAUUAGUGCAUUCACACAAGUUAUGUGUUUUAUCAUUCAUGGUGUUUAUGUGUGAUUUAAGUCUAGAUCAUUGGUGAUGUUCAUCAUGUAUGUGCAAGGGGUUAGGGUUGUUUAGGUGACAUGUUGGGCUACUGAUUGCUAGGGUUGAGCUCUAGUUACCAUGUGCAUCAUAGUGAUCUGUGGAUCAAAUUAAUCAUGAGAAAAGAGAAAUUAAAUCAUGAGAAUGGGCAUGGCAAUAUAUCUUUAAGAAUUUGAUGACCUCUAGGCCACCAAGAUCAGAUAUGGGGUCUUGCUCAACCUUGCUUCCAAGAAAAAGAGAUGGAUUGGGGAAUUCAUGAGAUUUCUUGCAAAAAUCCACAAAAUUGCAUUGGGGAGAAACUUGAGAGAUCCCUGAGAGGAUUGAGCUAGAGAUGAUCUUAGCUUACACUUGAGAUGAUGGAGCAACUUCCAAACUUCACAUAUUGCAUCCAUGCAUGAAAAAAAUCAUGCAUGGAUGUAAUGUGAAGUUUGGAAGUUGCUCCAUCAUCUCAAGUGUAAGCUAAGAUCAUCUCGAGAGAGGAUUUCAAGAAAAAUGAGAGAAAGGCUUUUGAUUUCACCAUAGAUUGAGGUUGAGAUGGAGAAGCUGAUGAGAUUUGUGAUCAAUGCUGACCUUUGCUUCUUAUCCUUCCUUUAUUUCCCUUCUCUUCAUCUUUCUCACUUUCUCUCUCUAGUUCUUGCCUUGUUCUUCAUGUGUUGAGAGAGGGGGAUAGGGAAUGGGUAAGAGAGUAAGCGGGAUGGGGCAUGUUUGCUGAAGGCCUUUCCCAACUCGUGCUGACAAGUGGGUCCACUUGUGAGAGAAUGGAGGACAGCUCAUUCCCAACUUGAUUCUACUAAAGUCAAGUUUUGAUGAAUGAUCUGUCUAUUCAGAUAGGCACUCUGUCAAUAUGCUAAUUAUGAGAAAUUGAUUUAGAGAAAUGGUUCUUAGAAUUUAGAAUUAGGGCCAUUCUUCUUGUCCUAGGUGUUGAUAACCACUUAGGGAGAGACUAGAUAAGUCAACUAUACCCUUCCUCCACUAUCUUCUUGAAGUUGACCGUUAGUUGGUCAUCGAUGACUCUAGGUUGACUCUGGCUUAAGAGGAUCGAUAAGGUUGGUUAGCAAAUUUGGAGUCCUUAUCCUAGUUAAGAGCACUAGGAAUCCUUCAAGAGAAUAGCAAGUUGAUUCUUGGAAGUUUGAGGGCUUAUGCAAGGUGAUCAAAGAGGUUCUUAAGAAGGGUUUUAGUUGGAAUGACUUCUGGUCAUGACAAUUGCUGCCUUCAAUUCGCUCAAGAUCCAUGGUGGAAAAGAUUUCCAAACCCUAAGUCAUUUUGGGCCUGGUGGAGGCACGUCGUGAGAGAUGAGAGCGGGGAGGAGUUCCAAACCCUAACUCUAUCUUAUAUAUGUCACAAUCAUAUUGAGCUCGAUGGCUCCGAGCAUGUUUCUAGAGGUGGGCCGCCCACCUUUGUAAACGAAUUACAGAGAUAGAUGUUUUUGGACUGCCUCCUUAAGUAGAGCUACCACCACCGAAAAUUAGGAUCUUUUUGGGAGGCACUAAGAAUUUCUAACCACCUCCAUUAAUAAAAUCCCUUAUCUCCUAAAAUAUUUUAUGUAGUAGUGCAAGUCUAAAAGAUAAAAGCUUGAACAGAAAAUUCAAAAUCCUUAGUCUCAAAUUGGAGUUUUGUCAAUUUUCCUCCAAAUGGGGAUUUCUAUGUGCUCGUGGGAAAUCUGCCUAAGGCAGCUAUGUUUAUUCGUGAGCCCCUAUAGCACCUAAAGAUCAUUCAACGAUGUCCCAAAUACCUGAGCACAAAUAACUUCGAGAAAAUAACCUCAAGAAAUGGUAUUUUUAGAAGCAAAUUAGCUCGCCAACUGCCUCUAAGAGCAACUCCAACACUACCCUAAACUUCACUUGGCAAAUCUUGGAUUUUGCCAAGUGUAAAGCUCAAAUGCCAAGUGAAAAAAAGAGGCUUCUCCAACAGUUAGCUAUUUUUUUGGCAAAUUUGGACUAUCUUGUGAUUCCUGAAAAAAUCAGAGGGACUUUUAUGCAAAAGUUGCAAUCUAUUUAAGGCAUGCGUGCAUGCUGAAUGUGUGGGUCCCACCGCGUAGGCAGGAUGCCAAGCGCUCCCAACGCUCCUAAAUUUGAGCCAGUUGGCCCUCUUUUUGCCAAGCAUCCUAUUUUGUCAAGUGCAUAUAGGGUAGUGUUGGAGGAGCUUUUUCCAUGUUUUGCCAAAAAUUAGGAUUUGCCAAGUGCAUAUAGGGUAGAGUUGGAGUUGCUCUAAUAAAAUAGCAUACAUUUCUAGAGGCGGCUGGAGUUGUCUCUAAAAAAUUGAUUUUUAGAGACGAGUUGACUCAAAAACAAUUUUUAAAGACAGAUUUUUAUAAAGUAGCCUCUACCCAAAAAUUGAGACGUCUCUAAAAAUGGACUAUGACUGUAGACCUGUAGCUGGAGCAGGCUUGGUAUUUGUAGUUUAGAAGUUGCAGCGGCAGCGAGAGUUGGUGUGGCUUGUACCAUACUCCUAUUAAGUAAAGGAAAAUUGAUAGUAGUAUACAGCCUAAUGAGACAUAGACCAAUCUAUUUCAUUUUUGUACUCAUUAGAUAAUCGUUUAAUCAUUUCGCAAAAAGAAAAAAAUGGAUAGACACACUUAAUAAUACACAGAGUGAUGAAACAAUAUAACAUAAGCACAGGAUAAAAUAUGAGUACAUUUAUUGUCCUUAGCACAGACUGAUACACUAUAAUUAUAAUCACUCUCUCCGGUACAAAUUAAGCAGCAACAGGGACACAGUUCACAUCACAAAUCAUCUGAUUAAUUUGGUAUAAGAUUAUUGUAAGGUUUGGCCAUGAUCCAAAGCAUGGACUUCUUUCUUAACGUUAUCCCAAAGAUCUCUGCCAUAUCAAAUUCUUCCAACUUGACGCCAUCAGGUAGAGUCCAAUCAAAAUGGUAAAGAAGGCUAACAAGAGCCAGCUCUAGAUUGGCCAAACCAAGCGUUAUGCCAGGGCAUAUUCUCCUACCUGACCCAAAGGGAGUGAACUCGAAGUCAUUACCUCUAAAAUCGACACUACUAUUUUCAAAUCUUUCUGGCCUAAAUUCCUCUGCAUCAUGCCACAAUUUUUUGUCCCUUGCUAUUGCCCAAGCAUUCACGAACACCUUGGUUCCCUUUGGAACAUCGUAACCCAUAACCUGACAUGAUUCACGACCUUCUCGAGGGAGCAACAGUGGUACUGGAGCAUGCAACCGUAAAGUCUCCUUGAUCACCAGCUGUAGGUAUCUCAAUUUGAUCAAAUCACCUUCAGUUAUCUUGUCUUGUCCUUUGAAGGCCUCCCUCACCUCUGAUUGGGCCUUAUGCAUGACUUGUGGAUUCCUAACAAGCUCUGACAUUGCCCAUACUAGAACAGUUGAUGAUGUUUCACUCCCAGCAGAGAAAAUAUCCUACAAUACAAUGUUAUAGUUACAAUUUGUAAAAGGGGACAUUCACAUUUUAAUUCUCAUGAGAAUGUAAUCAGUAAACAUAAGAAUGUAAAAAAAGAAUGUAGGUCAUAAAUUAUAUUCUUGUUCACAUUUUUAUUGAGUGCCAAUCGUGCAGAAUUAAUUAAAUUCUUUUUUAUCAUUUUAGUAAAUAAGAAUUCAAUUUAUAACCUAAAUUCUUAUUUUAUAAAAUACAAAAGAGUUCUAACUAAAAUGAAAUAAGUACAUAUAAGAUUUUCAACUUAACUUGAGGAUUAAGAAACUACAUCAACUAACAAAAUCAAAAUUUAAAAUCAAGAUCAAAUAUGUCAGGUGACAUGGCUAGCAAUAAGAGAUACCAUAACUUAAGCUAUGGUUUUAACUAAAUGUGUAUUGAAGACAAAUGGACGUGCCACGCACAGAGAAAGAGAAAUUAUAAAUAUGGAUAAAAAAUAUAAGGAAUAAUUGAUAAGUUGAUCUCACCGGUAAAGAAAGAAAUAUCUAUAUUGUGUCAAAAAAAAGAAUAAAAAUAAUAGCACAAGGAUAAUUAAUUUGUUUAGUUGUAGGUACUAAACAUGGACUACGAUACCAAAACUUAUUUAGUGUAAUAAAAUUCCAUUUGCCUAAUGCUAAACUAGAAAUAAAUUAGAGACCAUUAAUAAUGGAGAGGUUUUGUAGGAGUGUGGUGUUAGAUAACUAGAAGAUAUCUCGCGCAUUGCUACGAGAAUCGCAAAGAACUUGCUUGGAAUGAAAUUAAAAGAAGAUAAUGUGAAUAGCUUGCAACUAAGGGUCCAUUUGGUAGGAUUUCUCCACCGGCUUCAGUUUGUUUGAAGCCAUUUUCUGCCACACGGUAUAAAAUAAAACGGCUUUGCUAGUGAAACUCCUUAAAACCAGCUUUAUAAGAGCGGAUCUCACCCAAAUAACCGUGCUGACAAUCUCGUUGGUGAGAGCGAACUGCAGGCCACCAUCCCUCUGCAGCCUCAGGAGAACACCCAGAAGGUCCUCCUCGUCUCGCUCUGGCGCCGUCGCCAUGGCUUCAGCUUCACGCUCAUGAAUGAUGCUCCGGAUGAUCCGGUACAUGUUCCUCUGGCACCUCCUCGCGUCCCUCGCGGCGGCGCUGAACCGGCGUACCAGCUGCGAGGACGGGUACAGGUCCGCCAGGUUGAACCCACCAAACAGCCGCACCACUUCGUCUAGCUCAUGCAUGUACUCAUCCCGGUACUUGCACCGGUCGCCGACGACCGUGCGCGCGGCGACGUCGUUUACCAUGCGGCAGAUCCCGUCGCUGAGGUUGACGGGCCGCUGGCCGUCGGCAGACUCCCUGGAGACGGAGCGGAGGAGGUUCGCCACCUCCUCUUCCCGGAUGUUCCGGAACGUGAGCACGCGGCGCUGGCUGAAGAGCUCCACCAUACACAGCUUCCGGAGCUCCCGCCAGUGGGCGUUGUAGGCGGAGAAGAUGAUGUCCUUGCCGCCGCAGCUAAUGAUCUCCAUGGUGACGCUCAGGUUGCGGUCGCAGAAGGUGAGGUCGUGCGUCCUCAUCACCUCCCUGGCGGCCUCGGCGGAGGAGACCACCAGCGUGGGCACGGCGCCGAAGCGGAGCAUCAUGAGGGGCCCGUAGGUUCCGGACAUCUCGCGCAGCGCCCGGUGAGGCAGGUCGCUGAAGCGCGACAGGAGGAGGUGGUGCAGGCUGCCGAUGAGCGGCAGCUGCCAUGGCCCUGGUGGCAGGCGAAGCGCUGGUGAUGGCUUCGUGCGUGAGGACGUGACGUAGCUCCGGAUGAGCCUGAGGAGGAGGAGGGCGAGGAGGACGACGAAGGCUAGAAACUGGAUUCUCAUCAUGUCCAUAUUUUUGCCGGGGAUGGGACAAGUUUGCAGCCAACUGCGUCUCGACAACAUCGAUGACACGUAUUUAUACUAGGGGCUUGCUACCUGAAUUCUAGUUAUAUAUAUUUAUAAUACUAAUAAAAGUGUCCUUGCAACAAGUAAAAAGGUAUAAUGUUAUCCAUAGUUUUUUAUCUUGAAAAUAAUAAUUUUUCAUUUACAUCAUUAUAUUUUUAUUGCACUCAACAUGAUGCUAAAAAAGCAUAUCAUCACACUAUAAAAAAACAAGUUUUUAGGGUUUCUUCCUCUAUAAUAACCGUUCGAUUUGUACGCCGUGCUAUAUGAGUCCUACGUCAUGUAUGAUCUUACUUUUUUGUAUAACAACCGUUCGAUCUAGAUGUCAUGCUAUAUGAGCCCUCCAUCAUCUAUGAUCUUACAUGUAAGAUUUAAGACCCAUAUUCAAUCUCACAGUAAUGCUACCCAUCAUAAGUCAUAUCCUUCUCUCUUGUGUACUGUCGACUCCCUGAUUUUGACUCGACAUAUUUUUCUUCUAUUUAGUAAUCAAUUGCUUCUUCAUCGUGUAACUUUUGCUAAAGUCGAGACCAAUAGCACACAAUUAAUCAAUAGGAGUACAAACCAAUAACGGUAAAAUUAUUAAGAUAGAAUCAUACUCAUGUAUUCUAACGGAAAAAAUAAUAACUUGAUAGUCACUUGCCCUCCAUAUACAAUGGUCAUUUGCACCGACACGGAAGCUAGCAUUGCUUGAUUUGGCUAGUGUUGAUAUACGAGGCGGACACACAUGGCUACCUUUGCGUGCAUCUUCUUGGCUUCGACAUACUGGUCGUGUGUUUUUUUCUUUUGCUAUUUUCUAGCUAUUUAACAAUUAGUUGUUACUAUCAGCGUAAUUUGUGUAAUUUUUUAUUUGUUUUUCUGAAUUUUAUAUAUUAGUUAUUUAAAAGGAAUGAUUUUAAAUAAAGUUUAUAUUUUAUAAUAAAAGACGUUUCUUCUUUACAUACCGUUUUCAAAUUAUGGCCUGCUUUUUGAUUUUUGGCCUUUUUCUUCUUAUAGCUGUUGCAUGCCCAAUUGCCCAUGGUAAAUCCCAGCGUGUUGCCUGUUGGUUAUGCAAAGUUGUAGGUAGGCUACGCGUUGUCCUUUUCCCAAUUUGAUUUUUUUUACCGUUCGGAGCACGGUUCAGAGGUGUAGAUAGAUAGAGAUAAUUUCCAAACUGAAGAGGGUCGACUUUAAAAACCAUAAUUCGAGUAGAGAUUGGAGUUGAAGGAAAAAUAUUACGGAUCGAAGCCUAUACGGACUGGAUAGGCGAAAAAAAGAUGUCUGCUGGACUGAAAUUUUCAUAAUUAUAUAUUAGAAGAAAGAUUGUAGAUUUCGUUCAUUUUAAUUUUCUAGACAUAAUUUAUAAUUUUCGGUACCGAGAAUAAAAAUUUGUUAGACAAAAUUAUAAAUCUGACAAAUGUAUUUGAUCAAAGUUAAUAUUGUUUGACUCCUGAUAAAUGAGAAUAAGCAUUCUUUUAGGCACGGACAAAGAAAUUUAUCCACAAACAUGCGUGAAGAUGUGCUGUACAUACUAUGUACCCGUACUCCGUGAUGUACAAAACUAGGACCAGCAGAGGCUAAUUGUCUCUAUAGCAGCAGGCUACAAUAAUUUGUCUCCGUGGUCCAAAACGUGGGAAGCCUGUUAAGUGGUUGUUUGGUUCACAUAUUUGUUCACUUGUCUAAGUUGUAUUUUUUCUAACAGCCAACAGUGUUUUUCUUUCAUAAUAAAUCAGCGAAGAAUAUUUUCAACUAUAACUUUUCAGAUCAGCGAACAUGCUAGUCUCAUUUACUUUCAUUUAGUCAUUUUUUAUCUAAACACUAUAACUAAAUGAGGUUAAAUGGACUUUAGUCAUCUCUAGCAAUUCUGGAAUAACUAAAUAAGACUAAACUAUUUAGAAGGGACUAAAGUUUAGCAGCCCGAAAAACACCCGUGAUGUCCAUCCAUCCAUUAUAUAAGUUGUUGCUAGGCAGCUAGGGUCUUAGUAUUUUCGUUUUAUUUUAGUAAUUAGUAUCUAAUUAUGGAAUCUCUAGAUUUAAAAGAUCCAUCUCAUAAUUUAUAGAUAACUUGUACAAUUAGUUUUUUUAUCUAUAUCUAAUGUUGUAUGCAUGUGUCCAAGAUUUGAUGUGAUAGAUGAAAAGUUUUUAGGUGAAACUAAACAAGGCCCAGGUAUAACUAGGGACGGGAUAGAUAUGCAGCCAACUACGUGACGACAAAAUCUCGAGGAGCUGACACAGAUAUAUGGACUAGAUAGAUUUUAAUAAUAUAAUAGUACGUAUCAAUAAUGUAGGAAAUAAUGGUAUACUAUACUAGUUCAUAGGAUUCAACUGAAUAUUUUUGACAACAACGUCGUAUUGUGUUUGAUACUUCCACGCAACUACAGGUUAUUAGUGGCGUCGGUCCACGAAUGUGUACGUGCACGCCGCCUUUCGUUCAAGAUAUACUAUAUGUUAAUUCUGUAUUUGUUUGUAUAUAUAUAUACGCUUAAUUAUAAGACAGCGAUAGGCAACGGAAUAUAUAUAUACACACACGAAGAAAAAUCGCUGGAGUAAAGAUAGAAGCUUGUGUAGAUAUUCUCGCUAUGGAGUAGUAGUUCCAAUCAUAUAUAUAUUGUGCCGCUGUGAGAAGUAGCCAAUCACCAAACAGGAGUGCUCAGCUCACUGAUGGCACGUCGUCUAUCCGUAGAGGCGUAGACGGGUGCAUGAGUGCAAAUGGACAUGCAUGGUUUCGAGGACUUCCCAACACACCCACAGGGCCACAGCCCACAGGUGAUGUUUGUCUCCAUGUUUCCCUCCUAUUUCCGCUGCUAUUAAUUCUCGUUGCUACGUGUUUGUUUCAGCAGCAGCGGAGCCAUUCGCACAAGGGUCGAAUCCGGAUACCGGAAACGUCGUUACCGCCCACUCCAGGCCUUAUCGGUUUAGGGCAUGUACAAUCUAGAUAGGGUCCGUCUCUAAGACCAGUCGCAAUGUAUAGUUUCAUGGUAGUUACCAAGACUAUAAACUAGGUAACCGAGUCAUAUGAGUUUUAUGAGGAUGAAAACUCCUCUCUCAUCUGAUGAGACUGCUUCAUUUAAUGACCCUGUCAAGUCAGCAAUUUUGCUUAUGUGGCACCUUAUUUAAUGUGCAUGAUACUCUCAUGAAACAUGCAUUGAGAUUGACCUAAGUAUCUCGAAUCUAUGAUACAGACAGAUAUAAAGACAGAUUAUACAAUCCAUACUUGGGGGUUCUAAGGCAUUUAAUAAUUUGCAUGUAGCUAAGAUCAACUAUGGAUAUCAACUUGUAUACCACUGUGUGGCCGUUUGAUAGAAGACAAGUUCAAGUAUAAAUAAGAUGAACAUAAUUAUAAUAUUUUAAAACCACUAAUAUAAUAUAUAUUAUAUAUAAAGAUGAACAUAAUUACAUAAGCACACUCAAAGAGGUCAGUCCACCUAAUAAUCUUGUGCCAUGGAUCCUUGCAUUGCUUUAGAUUCCUUUUCCUACGGGGUGGAGCUGUCUUGUUGUAUGAUUGAACAACAUCAGACCAAUAUUGGUUGCCACCUAUAUUAGCUCCACAGGUCGAAACUGUUGAAUGUUCUAUCCAAGAGCUCAUGCAUCAAGCUGACAUCCUCAUUCUUUUUCCAAGGAAUUUGCUUCUCAGUCCUAGCAUUUUCAUCAUCAGUGUCAACUAGUUCAGGCUACUGCUUGUCCACUCUCUCUACUUCUACUGGUAAAAUUUCUUCAUGGUUGUGAACAGGUGCACCAACCUAAAAAUUGUGUGGCUGGUUUCCAAAGUAACUCAUAAACCCACCAGGUGGGCAUGGGUCGUCUUUAUCCCUGCAGGAAACAUAACAUCACUAAAAUGACUCUAUACAACAUUACUUUAAUUUGCACUAUCUGCUUCUCAUUCACACUAACAAAUAUCAAAUAGUUUAUAAGAAACAGAGCAUUAGUUUCAUUCUCAAACAUUUGCAACAAACAUCAUAGACCUUCAAAAGGAUCUAUGACACUACAUGCAGGGAAUAAAAUAUGUCAUUUGUCAACCAUGAUGAUCUGACCAGGAUGAACACACAUGCAGCCCAUAGCCACCCUCCUGCUAUUCUUCCCCAAAUAAGAUGAAACAAAUUGCAAUAUAUACAACUUAGCACAUUCAGCAGCUACCAAAGCUCUGUUCACAUUCAGAUACAGCUAGCAAGUUCACGCAGGUUCACAUUCAGAUAAUAACUAGCAAAGCUCUAUUCACUAACAGAUAAGAUAGAAUUUCACUAACAGAUAGGAGCAAGUCCAGAUCAAUUCACAGGUCAGGUGAUUAACAAGAUGGAUCCCAAGCUGCUGAGCGCACAAACGAAGGAGAAGCUGGAUCAACGUUGGUCGAAUUCCACCAAGCAGUAGAUGGUGAAGUGGGGAAUGGAAACCCACCGAAGACGAUGGAACCGUCGCAGCACUGGGGAAGGCACCUCCACUAGAUGUACCAAUGGAGAUAGGAGGUGUUGCCAUGCUGUUGCUGAGGGAACAGGAGAUGGGGGUACCCCGGUGCCACCACCGCUGAUCCACUUCCGCGACCUAGGGUUCAGCCCAGGGCAUCCGCGCCCAACGAUGAGCCUCCACCACGACUGAGGUUGUAGUUCGACGCCGUCGAGAUGGCUCCGCGACCGAAGGUGUGCACCGGGAACACCGCUAUCGCUGUCGCCGCAGUUGACGCAACAAUGGGGGUGUCCUUGCUCUUCUUGUUUGUGGAAGCUAGUUUGCACUUCCUCGCUGAGGUGCUAAACAUCGCAGCCACCAAAGGUUGGGGUGCCCGAUUGAGAAAGAAAGCUAGAGUGUUGUGGCUGCUUCACCGGUGAAAUAGGGAUGAGGCAGAGACGGAUUUGGCGGGACUGCUCCCUCCCAUGCGCGCCAAAACUUCAUUAGCAUGCACGCGAGUGCCCCAGAUCCGCGCGCCGUCGAGACAAGGGGACGACUCCUACAAUGCUGCUCGGCUGGUCUCCUUUGCAUCGGUGCAUGGGACGGCUCCGUCGCUUCACGAGACGACGGAAUAGUCGUCUUCAGGCCACAACGGCACAACAGAUUUUUUUUGUAAAAGUACCCACGAAAGGACGGGGUGAAGAGUUUUUAUAAAAGUACCCACGAAAGGACGGGGUGAAGAGCCCCGUUGUACAUACCCUUAUUACGCAACUCACGUGAGAAUGGAUAAAGGAUAUCUUAGGUUGGAUCCUAUGAACUAAUAAGUAUAAUUGAAAGUUUAGUCUUUAAAGAUCUAAACAAAUGAACUAGUUAGUGAGCUAACAACUAGCGAAAGCCUCAACUAAUUGUUACUUCACUAGCAUAUAGAGCCCAACUAGUUGGGCUAAUCACUAAUUCUAGUUCAUCCAAACAGCUCCUUAACCAACCAAACAAAUUGUCGUUUUUCAUUUCAGGCAACAGGUAGGGGCGGCACCCAUUUUCAUUUGCAGUACAGCCCCGAACUAAACAGAGAAAGAGAGACACACAUUUGGCGGCCAAAAAAUCUGGGUUUUGAUCUAUCAUUUUGCAUAAUAAAACUAAACAUCAUGCAAAAAUUUUUAGCAAAAAAAAUUAUUCUUCAUUUUGGAUUUUGGUCUCAGGAGGCCAAAAGCCCAAAAGAGUUACAAGAGACCAUAAUAAGAGCAAUAAAUUCUGUAUUCUAGACAAAACUAAAUAUAACCUUAAAAAUGUUAGUAUUUAGUAUUUUAUCAUUUCAAGGUAGUCGGCAUUUUGCAUUUUGCAUUUUAUGGGAAAUUAAACACCCCCUAGCACAACCAAAUCGUCAACUCCCAACACUGCAGGCUUGAUGGAGCAUCAUUACCACGCUUCGGUUGAAGCUAAGAGCUGCAAAGCAUUUGCCAGUGCCAUUACCACCACCAUUUCAUGUUGCAUGGCUUGACCGGUCGUAAGAGUCCCAUGCACGUCGCAACUCGCACAGGCAUUGCUCUUGCUCGCGGUGCCAUGAUUGCGCCUUUCACAAACUCAUAGUUGAUCAAUUGGAGCACUUGCGAUUAUUGAAUCAUUAUUGUACUACCAUUUAGUAUGAGAUUUGAAAUUUACUUAAUUUAAUUGGAUAAAUAACAGGCCAUAUCUAAUUAAUUAAGUCCAAGAGCUAACAAUUCCAGGCUGUAAUUAAUUGUGCGAGAUGAUGUGUUCCUAGUCCACGAUGACCUUGAGAAGGACAUUGAGGAAGACGAAGGCUGCAAACGAGAUCCUAGUUUCCAUAUCUGCCAGGGAUGGGAUUUCGGUGAGCUAGCUUAAAUAUAGAGUAUUAUGGCAUCUAGAAAUUAACAAUAAUACAGCAAUGCUUUACAGCACUCAAGUGUUUUACAGCAAUUCAACACUCAAUUCCUUUCUGUUCUCUUCCUCUCCCUCUCUUCUUCUCUAACUCUGGCAAGCUUAGAUGAGACUGUGGGAGGCAGGUCGGCCAAAUGGUGGAAACGGCAGGAGGACGACGGUUAGAGUUCCAGCGGUGUAGGAGGCGGUCGAACUAGGUCAGGGCGAGGGCAUCUAUGGCCAUACGACGGUGAGGGGAGGAGAAGAAGAAGGUUGUUGUGGGCGUAAUAGGGUCUCAUCGGAGCUCAAGACCCUACUGCACUGAGGCGGGGCAGUGGACGACGGUAGGGCAUCGGGAGGAGGAAGAGGACGAUGAAGAAAAAAUCAAGUGUUCUCGAGAGCCAAAACACUCAAGCGACAGAUGAUAGAUCCUAAUAUAGAAAUGCAACAAUGUAUCCAAAGUAUGGAGGCACUGCUGUGUUUGUUAUUCCCAUCCUAGAGGUAAUCUUUGGUGUCCACAGGGAGAUAUUUAUUUUGUUCGUGCCUCUCGAGCCUCACCAUAUCAAUUCUAAUUAUGUUUCCGUCUAAUGCUCCGUAUAUAUAAUACGCUAAUAAGAUAGUGAAAUAGACGAAACUGAUCGACACAUUAGGUUUUUUUUACAACAAAUAUUUUUCAUUUGAGCAGCAGGACGCUGCAAUCAGUCUAACAGACUGAAGGUUUACAUCUAUCAGAUGCAUCAGGAAUGGGCACUGAUAGGUAAGGCUCUGAUGAGAGCAUACAUGAUGGAAGAAAGAUUCAACAGGAACAAUAACUGAGAAAGCCUGUCUAUCUAAAGCAUAUGUUGUAUUAUUUAUGUUCCUAUUGAUUUUGAAGAUCAUGGCAUGACAUUGAUCACCUGUGUUCCUGAACAUCUGGGUGAAAAAGGUUUUAUCCUCCAGUCUACAGGAUGUUCUUGGUCAUCUUCAUGUAGGAAUUGUACUAGCUGCUGGUUAUUAGUGAGAAAGGUGGUGUCAGUGAAGUUGAGUCGUUCACUAACAACUGCUGCUAGAGCAAGUGCUACAACUUCCGCCAUGAGGACUGAGUGGACUUCCAAGGCUUGUGCUGUGAUGUAGAUGGUUUGUGUGGUUGUACCUAUGGAUUGACAAAAAAUCCCAAGUCCUAUAGCUAUAUACUGCCUGGUUGGUUGGUCAUACCUUAAGGAGGCAUCAAUGAAGCAUCUGACUCCUUGGAUGAGCUCCAAUAUAGAGAUGAAGUAUUUGUCUGUCUAAGGUGAAGCUCUUGCAUUAGAUGUGAUAAUACCUGGUGAAGUCGGGGUGGCUUGAUUUGUGAGCAUCAUUUUCUAGGGGGUUUGUGCUUGUUGUUCCUCCAUAGGGUGUGAGGUGCAGGUUCCUCCUGUUGGUGCUGCAUGUGAUCAGGUGCAGGCGUCUCCAUCUGUUGAGGUGUGUGGCUGUGAUCCUACGAAGUAAUAGCAAUGGCAGUUUGCGUACCUUGUGCAGUCAUUUGUGGGGGUUGAGGUGGGAUAAGUAGAGUGUCGGUUUGGUGGCUGCUAAUGUGGGCUACGACCACAUGGUGUACCUGCCAUGGAGUCCAAGUUUUUCUGUGAAAUCAAAUAUCAUUCCUAGCUUUCCACAAAUACCAGAAAGUGAUUAGUAAUUUGUUGAAUACAGUAGAUGGGAUGGCGGCGGGGAUGAAGCUUGGUAGGAUUAGUUGCACGCCAUUAGUAUCUUGAGGUAAAUUGUCAGUGCAAAGAAGGGGAUUUGAUGAGAAUACUGUUGUGGGAGGUGAUAGUGGAAGAAUAGGUGGGCAUCAUCCUCCACCACGCCAUAGGAACAUAGUGCUUGUCUAUGUGGGGGAGUAUCUCGCUGCUUGUUUUGUUGUAGCUAGGGCUCUUUUGAUGAGUCUCCAAGUGAAGGAUUUAACUAGAGAUGGUGGCUCCUUACUAUUCCAUUCUCUCUGCAUAAUGGAGUUAGCAUGGGGUCCACCUCAAGAUGUCAUGACCAUCACUAUGAAUAGUUGGUGUUACAGUUAUGACCUGUACAUCCUAAGCAUCAAAGAUGUUAGUGAUGAGGUGAACAUUCGUGUUAUGGGAAUUUGGUUGCUAAAGAUUAGAGAAAUGGUUGGCAUUGGAGAUUGAGUAGCUAGCAGGAUCAUGUGGUCAUGGAUAGAGUUCCGAAUGGGCACCAAGGGGUGGACCAUAUAGAACUGUUACUUGAAUGGAUCUAGUAGACAGAGUUGGAGCGAAGUUUAGUUUUGACCUACAAAAUAGAAGACCAGAAGAUUGAUCUAGGACCAGUGGUGUUGGCUUUCCAAAAGGAGGUGUUGUGGAACUAUUUAGCCUUAAGGACAGAGGUGAGCAUGGGGUUUUUAUUAGUAGCAAUGUUUGCCAAGACCCCCAUUCUUCUUGGGCUAGCAAAUGUCUUCCCAAGACAUGAACGCAAUGGGAGAUGUAGGGUUGUCUUUCUAGACUCUAGUGCACCAAAAUUUCCUGAUUAUAGUGUUGAUUUUACCUAUCAUAGUAUUAGAAAAUAGCACAGUACACAUGUAGUAUACAGGGACCAAAGCUAGGACAGAUUUGAUGUAAGUCAGUCUCCCUGCAUGAUUAAGCUUGUUAGCUUUCACAGUAGUUAACUUAGCUCUAAAUUUUUUAAGAAUAAACUCAUAAACCUUAUUCCGAUCAUUACGAUUAAAAUAAUCAGGUGGCCCAAGGUGCAUGCUAUUAGGAAGGAGGUCAGGGGUAGGAAAGAUGUUCCUGAUAUCAUUUCUAGUGGUCAAAGGCACCUUUUUACUAAAAAGGAUUGAGGACUUCUAAAGAUUGGGAGUUUGCCUAGAGAGGUGGCAAAAGUCUUGUAAAAUGUCCCAGAUUUUGGUGGCUUCAAUGAUGGAGGCCUCGCCACAUAAGAUUAGAUCAUCAACAAAGAGAAGAGAGUGAAUGGGAGGGCAACUAGGACCAAGGGAAAUGCCCAAAAAAUUGGAGUAAUGAGUUCAGUUUGAAGGUGAAUGGAUAGCUCAUUGGUGGCCACAACAAAAAGACAAUGAGAGAGGGGGCAGCCCGGGCGAAUACCAUGAUGGGGAGUGAAGGAGGUGGAAGGCUCUCCAUUGAUAAGGAUGGAGAAAGUAGUAGUGGAAAUACAAGCUUGAAUGAGGUUGGUGAAAUUGGAGGGCAGCCCAAGACGAUUUAGAGAGUCCCAAUUCAGACAAUCAAACGUUUGGCCAGGUCAAGCUUGAGAUAAAAAAGCUUGCUGGUUCCAGUUUUUUAGGUUGGAAGAGAUGUGCCUGUGUUUUGAUGAAUGCAACUUAAGAUUAUUGAGUCAAUCGACAGCAACUUUGGCGUUUAGUAGAACACAGCAUGGUGCCAAGAUGAUACUACGAUGUCAGCAAAAACUUGUGGGAUCCACCAUUUAGUAAACGAUUAAAGAAAUUUUGAUUUCUUUUUUGUCGUUUCUGCACACCUCCAUGCCUACCAUACGUGUACUGUGUUGUUUUCAGUGGCGGAGGCAGCUGGCAAGGUUCGGCCUCCGCCGUACCUAAAAUGUAUAGAAAACACUAGUAUAUUAUGUGUAUAUACGGUUAUACACGUGAAAUAUACAUGGCUUAGCCUCUGCCACUGUGCACGAAUAGAUUUUGUUUGUGGGCUGGUAUCUCGUGGGCUUACACGACUACGAGCCCGUUCGCUUCUUAGCUGUACUUUUUUUCAGUGAUUUUUUUUUGACCAGCGAAUAGGCUCUAUGUCAAAAGCCCACGACACUAUCCAUAGAAGGAAGCAGCUCAUUGGUCUUCCUGCCUUCCUGGCUGGUCGACUACUCCAGGUUUUAGUGGCCGACUUGUUUAGUUUCAAUUUUUUUUAGCAAAAUAGAUACUGUAGCACUUUUGUUUGUAUUUAACAAAUAUUAUUCAAUUAUAGACUAACUAGGCUCAAGAGAUCUGUCUCGCAAAUUAUAGACAAACUGUAUAAUUAGUUAUUUAUUUUAUUUAUAUUUAGUGUUUCAUGCAUGCAGUGGCGGAGGCAGGAUUUUUGCUUGGGAUAUGCCAAACAAAAAGUUUUCAUAUACAAAUCGGUAAAAUCUAUUUAGCAAUUCGGUAGAAUUUUAUAAAAAAAAUGUCUAACAAUUCGGUACACAACUGUUAAGGCCUUGUUUAGUUCCAAAAUGGACAUUGUAGUAUUUUCGUUUGUAUUUAAUAAAUAUUAUCCAAUCAUAGACUAACUAGGCUCAAAAGAUUUGUUUCGCAAAUUACAUGCAAAUUGUGCAAUUAUUUUUUAUUUAUAUUUAAUACUUCAUAUAUGUGCCGCAAGAUUCGAUGUGACAAAGAAACUUUCAAAAUUUUGCUAAUUUUUUGGGACGUAAACAAGGCCUAAAUGGCAUAAGUCGUGCGUCCAUGGUGUGUUUGAAAGGAGCGUCCGAGAGCAGGUGCGAGACGAAUACCGAGGUCUUGUUUAGUUCUUCUAUGGUCUCCAAUGGGAGGGUUAGCUGAUCCACAUUAGUUAACCACUACUCCACAUUGGGCAAAGUGAUUUUGUUAACGCACGUAGCCACGGUAAAUCAUAAUUAAAGAGCCAUCGUGAUCAACUUUCAUUAUGUGAGCUUGAACAAAAUGAUCAACAUCAAGAGUUGGCCUACAAAUAAUUGUAGAGCUUUGCUAAAUUUCCACACCCUUUCUCCCACUCCAAAAAGCCAAAGUGCUCAAUCCUUAAGCAAAUCAUUCCACCAGGAGAACAAAAGCAAUGUUGUGGUGAUCAACAUCAAGGUAUAUCUGUAGAGCUUUGCUUUUACCGGUUAACGUGCAAUAUGAGUGCACAAUUAUGUUUAGGAUAGAUUUAUUAAGCUAAUAUUGUUAUCUAGUGCCACUAGGUGGGGACUAACAAUACACAUGUGUUAGACUCAGUGACAUGGUGAGGAAGCAAGUGAAAACCUUUGAAAAUGCAAACUCAGUGCUAAAGGUGUUAUUGUUCCGUCUGCCACAUUUGGGAGAUAUCAUAUUUGAAAAAGGGUUUAAGAGAGGGGCUUGGUGAGAUGGUUUGAAUAGUCACUAGAUAAGUCCGGUGGUCAUCAGAGCUUAGGCACACCCACUUUACUAGUCUAGUCAUCAGGCUGUCUCACUCUGUAGUGGGCCACCAAAAAUAUCCAUGCCUCUAGGUCCGAGCACUAAAGUUUAGGCUCCUUCACUUUGGGAGAGAAGGGGACGCUGGACACGAGGCAACAAUCGGCAAUGGCUGCAAAGCACACAAAGUUUAGAAGGAUAAAGGAAGACGACUAGAGGAGGUUAAAUAGUCAUUUCUAUAACUAAAUCAUGAAUCCUAGGCAAAUAAAUAACAUUAAUAAACUAUUUGUCACUUCCCACUAUAACAGCAGAAAUAAAACAACAGAGAUAAUCUAUUUUCAUAACAAUACAAUAAAAGGUACAUGACUCAUUAUUUCCAUGAUGAUUCCAUCCCUACCUGCGAGCGUGGAAAGCCUAAAAAGCCUCUCUCCACGGCCUUCCUAAAAAAAGCCCACCUGGCCACCUGUAGUUCAAUAUAAGCUACUGGAGAAGCUAGGCGUUUGGUCCAUCUCGAACCGCUUUUAAAGCUAAACAGCCCAAUAACCCAUUUCAAACAAGGUCGAAGCCCAAUGAGGCAGGUGGCCCAAAACCUGACCCGAUUCUCUCCCAAUUCUUUUUCCUCGUGUUGGAAUCGGAAUUGGAAUUGGAAUUUGUACGUAGUGGCGGCGAUAUCUGGUUCAGAGUGGGUGUUGAUUCGUGGAGAGCAGCUGGUCGGGCCCAUCCGCGCAGUUGGCUUGGCUUGGCCGCUGCCGCCCGUGCUCGCACCGGCCGCCCCACCUCCAUCUUCCCAUGGUGGUGGUAUCAUCCCCCCCCUUUCCUCUUCCUCCUCCCCACGUGCAACCACCUAACCCCUCUCCCACCGCCCUCCUCGCCUAGCCCGCCGCCACAGCGGCCGUCGACGAGCGCCAUGCCCGCCGCGGCGUCCACCUCCGCGACCUCGCUGCUGCUGGGCGGCGGCAGGCUCCCGCGGCUCCAGCUCCAGUCCCUCCGCGCCCCCGCCAAGCCCCCCUUCCGCCGCCCGGCCUCGUCCCCGUCCACACCGCUCCCCAGAUGCCGCGCCAGCGCGAGCCCCCGCCCUCUGGGCCCCGUCUCCGCCUCCGCCCUCGCGCUGCCCGUGUCGGUGACGGCCGCUCCCCCACCGCAGGUGGAGGAUGGUGGCUGGGUGGGAGGCGCGGCCGCGGCCGCGGCCGUGAGGAGAGUAGCUGUGGCGGUGGCGUGCGGGGCGCUCGCGGCGGCGUGGUGCCGCCGGGCGAUGGCUGUGGGGGCGGCCACGGCGGCGGGAGCGGGAGCGGGGGCCGGGGCCGGGGCGACGGGGGCGGUGGAAGCUGCCGCGGGGAUUGGAGGGAUGGCGCUGCACGGGGGCUGGCCGAGAGUGCUGCAGAUUCUGCAGCUGCUCAGGGAGCAGGGCCUGGUUCUGGCCGCGCUGCUCGGCCUCUCUGCGUUCUUCUCCAUGGCAGAAACUUCUAUCACGACGCUUUGGCCUUGGAAGGUGCGUUCAGCAAGUCUACGGAGACCCAUUUUCUUAAACUCCUGUUGUUGCCAUAGUAAUUACUGUACGUACGCGAAAUGAACUAUGCUUCCAGUUUUGCAAUCGGUUUGGUUCACUGAGCUACGAGGUAGGAUAUUGGGAGAUUUUUGGAUACUUAGAUGAGCAGAUUGGUAUUGGUGUAGUGUUGCUGCUAAGAGGGGAUGCUGAGAUGGGGUGAGUGUCUUAUGGGUACGUCCUUGUAUCAACUACUAUACUCAUUCUAAAUGGGUUUAUGCAAUGAGUAUUUGUAUGAACAAAGCAAACGGAUACGCACUAGCUUAGGCUGUUGGGUUGGGCUGUGGCAUGUGUGGGUCGAGGAUGUGGCGGUUGUCAUGCACAUCCUGCUUCAGCAGUGAUGUGAUAAUUUUGUCUCGCUUGCUGAUGACAUAAUCCACAGCACAAGUUUGUAUUUGAGAAGUGAUGUCACUGCUGGGAGUGUUGCUGAAAGACAUGGGGAAAGCAUUAUUGCUCCUUCCUUUUUUUUGUAGGAUAGAGGGCUGAGCAGCAGGCAUAACUGAUUGACAAGCUGACAACAGCAAGGUGCUUCAGAUAUAAUGACAGUGUGCACAUGCGCUUUAGUGACAUGUUGUGCUAGUGAUCUGUAGGAGAAUUAGGCAGGGAAUCUAUGCAAGGAAAGUUUUUAUUAUUUUGAAACUGGAACUAAUGACACUGGUAUUGGAUUACCGGUCUUACUGACUUUAUAUAUAAUCUCCCUUCACACCUAAUCUCAUCAACUGGAUAGGUAUUUCUGGUUCAGAAUAUUUAUAGCUUUGAACAGAACAUUGGUGCUCUUGUAACUAUCAUUAAAGGGGUCCUGCCUCUUUGUUCAUGUUUAUCAACAUUUAAAUUCAAUUCUAAUUCUUCAAAGACUACAACAAGGUGAUCAAUGUAAAUUGAUGGCUGGAUUCGGUUAAUCACAUGUUGAACUUGCAUUUUAUUUUUAGUAGAGGUUUAUUUGCAAGCACAGGAAUAAUGAAGCCCUAGGUUUAGUGCAUUUUUUCCCUCCAGAGUUGAGCCUAAGGAUUCAAGUUCACUGACACUUAUCAUUGUGGGUUCAAGCAUUUGCACACAUAUUAGCAUAUUGAAAUGGCUAAAGUAUUAGAGGUUGGUGCUAGAGUCUUUCCAUAACAGCGCACUUGGGACUGAAGUUUGAUUCAUGCAAAAUUUUUCAAUUGAAUCAUGCUUGAUGUUCAAAAACUAGCAAGAAUCAUAGAAAUAGCAACACUGUAUUGUGUAAUAGGUUGCAUACCUUUUCCCCCUUUGCAUUUGUUUAUUUUUCUAACGUUGUUUGGAAAUUGCCACAUCAAGGCCUAAUUUUCUAGUGAUCUGCCUAGCGCCCAAUAGCUAGCUAGCCUCUCUACUCAAGCAUUGAGGCAUCACCCCCUUCUACCCACCUAGGGCAUUUUCAGAUCAGUGUUUUGAAACUUUGCUUCGUAGUGGUACUCUUUUCUUAUUGUAACUGACUGUAUGCUGAGAGCGAAUAUCUAUAUGCUGAGACUUUGCUGAUUUCUUUUUUCCUUUGCAUUAGGUUCGUGAACUAGCUGAGAAGGAACCUGAGAAUGGUGUUUUCAAAAUGCUCCGAAAUGACGUCACUCGUUUCCUGACAACUAUUCUCAUUGGCACAACGUAAUCCAUGGCAUUUCUAAGUUGUGCAUCACUCAUUGCAAUUUUGUUUUACUAACCCUAAACCCUAAUCUCGGGCAUAAUUUGUAUGAAAUAGUGUGGUCAACAUUGGCGCAACAGCAAUUGUUACUGAGGCAGCAACAGCAAUGUUUGGUGAAGCAGGUGUUAGUGCAGCAACAGGUGUCAUGACAGUAUGUCUCCUGUCUCAUACUGGCCUUCUGCUCUUGUGUAAGUGUUCUUUAAUCUAACUAUGGAGCACCAUUUUUUAGGUUGCCAUCUUACUUCUUACAGAGAUCACUCCCAAAAGUGUUGCAGUCCAUAAUGCCACCGAGGUCGCUAGGUUUGUGGUAAGGUGAGAGAUAUCAAGUAUAACUUAGUUUCAAACAUGUUUAUUUUGAGUACUGAACAUUGUGCAUUUGUUGCGAUAUAUCAGACCGGUCGCAUGGCUUUCGCUGAUCCUCUAUCCAGUUGGGCGGAUUGCUACUUUUCUGUCUAUGGGAAUGCUAAAGAUUCUAGGCCUGAAAGGGAGAAGGUAAGACUGUAAGAGUAUGUAUAAUACUCUAGUUCUUGAUCAACUAGAAGAUAAAUUCUUUGAAAAUAUGCCAACUCAAUAAGCUCAUGUUAGUCAUAGAUUAUAUCCCCCAUUAGUUAUGAUAUGCUUUCAAGAAGGAUACACAAACAAUAAAUUAAUUCAUGCCACAAGAACCACACAGAACUCUUUUUUAAGAGCAUAUGGCUUGCUCUGCGUAGUGGAUAUAACCAGGGAAGCACAAGGAUUGAGUUUCUAGGUGUGUGUGGGUUCUGCUCAGGUGGGCAACUCUAGCUUCAUCCAUCUGUAUCUUUUUCUUGAUGAAAUGGCAUGCAGCUCUUUUGCGUCAUUCGAGAAAAAAUAACCAGGGAAGCACACUGAUUGAGUUCCUGGUUCCUGCCAAAUAAAAUCUCACCUGUUUUCUUUUAAAAAUGGAUUAAACUUGUAUAUUACUAGAAUUCAAGUACAAAUGAGAUGGUACAACAUGGACUAGAUUAGACUAGUUUGAGUAUGUGUUGAGUCUAGUUUAUAGGGUGAUAGUUGUACUUUCUAAAAUUUCUAUAAUUAGUAAAUAGUGCAGUGACUAUAUUUUUAAUCAAUAGAUGACCGUUGACACUAUUCCAAGAAUUGCAUAUCAUCUGUUAUUGUUCAUGAAGGAUCUAAUUCUAGUUUGAAUUUGCUAGAAACUUAUUGAUUGCUUUCUGUAUAAUUUAGUUUACAAAUUGAAUUUAGUAUCUGAUAUUGUAAUACAAUACACAUUUGUAUGUUAUUUUUUGCAUUUUUUUUACAAAAUCCAGUACUCAAGUACAUUGAUUUGCUAUGUCUUUUAGUUACUACAUUUGUAUAUGUUUAACCAAUAUACAAUUGAGAUUCCUAUAUAGAUAAGAUUUAGUUUUUCUUUUUCAUAACUCUUGACAUUUCUGGAGAUCUACUUCUGAAUCUUGUGCAUCAUAUACACUUCUUUCCUCAGUGAACCAUAUGUUACUGAAGAUGAACUGAAGUUAAUGUUACGAGGAGCAGAGUUGAGUGGUGCAAUUGCAGAAGAUGAACAGGUUAGACAAUCUAGUAUAUGGAGAUGCCCAUAUAUUGUGCUGCAUAUUUCCUUCUUUAUUCUUUAUGUUUCUGUGUACCUCACAGCAAGAUUUUGUUAUCCAGUGCAAUCUAGGCAAAGCCUUUACUUACAAUUUUUAUAUCAUAUAGAAAGCUGACUACUUACAUAAAUAAAGAGUGAAUUAAUGAAAUUUCAGGAAAAUAGUAACUAACGUUUUUGCAUGAUUUUAACUGCUAAUUUAAUGUUUGUACACCAUCUCAUCACAUAUAUCCAGAAUUUGAAAAGCAGUAUGGCCCCAAAGGUUUGAGUUAGAUUAUACUGUUGCAGACUAGGAUUUUGCCUCUUGAUAGUUUACUAGCACACUUUGGCUACUUCUUUGUUUUCUUGAAAACGCAGGAGAGCUGCACUUCAUUAUAUUAAGAGGAUAAAGGGCAAGAGCCCGAACAACCCCACAAACACCAUACACACACCACACACAUCACACACUCACGCCCCAACAGAAAUGUUACAUUCGCGCCCGUAAGAAAACACACAACGCGACCACUACUAGGCUAAACAUUUCUAACUAUCGGGGAGGAGGGCAGUCAAGAAUGAUAGCUCUCGAGCUGCUGCCAUAGACCAUAAACGGCGCUCCUCGCCUGCUAUGAUCAGAGCGCCAGCAAGGUUUGGAGCUGCUCCAUCAAAGACACACCCAUUGCGAUGGUUCCAUAUAGUCCAAGCUCCGAGCAUAACAAGAGAAUUAAUUCCUUGCCUUGUCAGCCCAUCAGCAGUGCUGCUAGCCUUCUCCCACCAAGCAUGGAAGGAUAAUUCUGUAAGCUGAGGGGACAAAAGCCUGAUUGAACCAAAAUUCUCUUGUGAACACACAAUGGACAAGUAGAUGGUCGAUAGUCUCCUUUUCAUGGUCACAAAGGAGGCAAUUCUCCGGAUGAGGUAACCCUCGGCGUGCUAGACGAUCAGCUGUCCAGCACUUAUUGUGCGACCAGCCACAUAAAGAAACGGCAUUUGGGCAGCACCCAUGAUUUCCAAAUCUUUUCCCAUGGUCCAAAAAGAGUAGAUCCGAAAAAGAAGCCUUCAUAUGCCGAUUUAGCCAAGUAUUGUCCAUUAGAGGAGAGCCUCCAUAGGUGCUGCAGCUGAAAAUCCAGAAGUAGAUCCCACCAUAAGUGAAAGUAGUCAACAAACCCACCAACUGUGAGCGCUCCUUGUAUGUCCAAAAUCCAAGCCCGGUUAGUAAGGGCAUCCUGGACAGUAUGCUGCUUAACCCUCCUUUUAGGAGUAGCCACAAAAAGUCGAGGGGCAAGAUCUGCAAUGCAUUGCCCAUUGAUCCGAUCUGUCCAGAAAAGAGUGUUUGCACCAUCCAAUUUCAGAAGUUACUGCCACUGAGUAGAAGGCUCUUACUUGCUUCGGCACAUGGAAUGGUAGAGCAGCCCAAGGACAAUGAGGUUCUGUUUUCUGCAGCCAAACCCAUCUCGUGCGCAAGGACCAGCCAAGGGUUUUUAAAUCUGAAAUUCCCAGGCCUCCAAGCUCUGGUGGGCCACAGACUUUGACCCAAGCCACAAGACAAUGACCACCUUUUUGCAUAUUUUCGACCCCUCCAAAGAAAGCCACGCCAAAUUUUAUUUACCACUUUGAUAGCCAUGGAGGAAAGUCGAAAGCAAUAGCUAAGUAAAUGAGCAUUCUCAGUGAGAACUGAUUGUACUUGAACCCUUCUUCCAGCCCUUGUCAUUAGGUCUGCCUUCCAGCCAGGAAGUUGAUCUGCAGUACGAUCAAUAAUAGGCUGCACUUGUUUCUUUAGGGAGAGGGGCAGACCUAAGUAUUUGCAUGGGAAAUCCGAGAGGGGCACACCUAGCUAGUUUCUUUGGCUACUGUUAUCCUUUAGGUAUUUUGCAGAACCUUUCCAUAGCAAUCCCAUUAAUCUUUAGGAAGCGAUCCCAUUUGUUAAAGCCCCUGCAGGCAACUUUCAAGUUCAUUAUUCUCGAUCACAGGUAGUCAUUCUGCAUAUUUUUCCCUCAGAAUCAUCAUAAGAAUUGGGUUAAGUGGAUAGGUCAGACUAUAGCAUGGAAAUACAUAAGUACUGAUAGGUUGUUGAAACUAUCUAAGACUACAGAUUUAUCGUGUCAAUUUGUCACAAAUAACAGAUUUUAGCUGAUGAAAUCAGUACUUCUGCAGUACAUAGAAAUACUAAAUGUGUAGUUUUAGUUUUGCAAAAACAAGGACACUAAAUUUAUAAUUCUGUGAUAAAACUUCUUAAAUCUGUAGUUUUGUGAUAGCAUAGCCCACUCACACAUAUACAAAAAAAAAGAAAAAGAAAAAAAGGAACCAUAUAGUUAUUUAUGUGCUUAGAUUCUAGGCCCUAGAACUAGAACCUAUAGCUGUGUUACACUAUUAUGAAUUCCUAGUCCGUGCCUGCUUGUGCAGGACACUUUUCUACUUGAUCAGCUAAAGUCAGCACCUGAGUCUUUUAACAGGAUAUGAUCGAGAAUGUCCUGGAAAUUAAAGAUACACAGGUGAGGGAAGUAAUGACGCCUUUGGUGGACGUAGUUGCAAUUGAUGCUAUUGCAACACUUAUUGAUUUCAAAAACUUGUGGGAAACUCAUCAGUACUCUAGGUAUUGUCAACUAUUAUUGUCGCGUGUAUUUUCAAGUCUUAUCACUGACAUCUGCUGCUAUUUGUUAUUUCCAGAGUUCCUGUAUUUGAGGAGCGCAUAGAUAAUAUUGUUGGAAUUGCAUAUGCAAUGGACAUGCUUGAAUAUGUUGAAGAGGUAUGUCUCUUGUUUACCAUUUAAUGUAAAACUUAAUCACAGUGAGUCUUAUUUGCUCCACAUGAUGCUUCUCUAAAGGGAAAGUAAAAGGUGUAUUUUUCUUUUGAAGGUUGAGAAGCUGAAUGAAAUCACUGUUAAGAAAAUCGCACAUAUGCCUACAUACUUUGUUCCAGGUAAUUUUUAGUAACAUUGUUGGAUACAAGUAUCAUGAUGAACUAAAAGAAGGCAUCUGUCAGUAGUUAUAGGGUUGGAUGUUUUUCCACAACAAUUAAUCAUUUCUGCCACAUGUUUUCUCCCAUCUAUGCAUCAUGGAUGUAACAUAUGAUACUGUUUCAUCUGGCAGAUUCAAUGUCUGUUUGGAACCUAUUAAGAGAGUUCCGGAUCAGGCAGGUUCAUAUGGCAGUGGUCCUUAAUGAAUAUGGUGGAACUAUUGGUGUAUGUCCCUAUGAAACCCAUUUUUUAUACUUUACAAACUGGACACAGUUUAGUACUUGUUAAUAUUCUUGUUAUGCUUUCAUCCAAGGCUAGUUGCUCAAUUGAGACCAUUUUGACUUAUGGCACACAACGAGGUUCAACAUUGUUUACUCCAAUCAAUUUUUAGUUGUAACUUCCAAGCAUGCUAGUUAGUUUGCUAAUAAUUGAUGAAUGCUAGUCAGUACAUGGUGACAUUUUGAUGGCCAUUUAUUGGCAACACUACUGGCUUUUGUUCCACAAUGGUCGUGUUUUUAGCACAAGCAUGUGGUGCGAUGCUUCAAGUGAUCUUGCUGCACAGCUUAUGUAACUGCAGCAAUGGGGCACUUUUCAUCUGUUGCAGUAGCAGUCCCUGUUGUUCAUGGUUUGUUUCCUUUUAAGAUAUACCCCACACAUAGAGAUUAGUUAUGCUCCAUGCAGCAGAGAUUAUUACUUUCCACAAGUUUAGAGAUUGUUUCUUAGGAAGUAGUUAUGCUCACAGUUUGUUCAUCAGUUUCUGUUUUCAGAAGUAGUUGAUGAGCGAUGAACAUGUUUUGAUUAUGUUUGCUGCUGAAAGGAUAAUUCUUUAAGAUGUUUUUCUCAUUACUGAUGCUCAUUGGUAAAAGUUGCAAAUGAUUGGACAAAGCUACUACCCGUGAGCUUCCUUUGUCUCACAUACCCUUCGAGCAAUUACGCUUUAAUGUAGCAAUAUCUAUCCAUUACUUGCAGCAACUAAGUCCUAUUGUAUUCAGAAAUGUUUAUUAGAACAGUUUGUAAUUUCAUAUGUUUAUCACUGCAUGGGACAUUGGGAAUUACUCUGACCUUUGGCCAAAAAAAAAUGCAGAUUGUAACACUAGAAGAUGUAGUGGAAGAAAUAGUUGGUGAAAUAUUUGACGAGAAUGAUUCCAAGGUGAUUAUUUCUGGAAUUUUUUAUUUCAAAUCGCAAGUGGGUGUUCAGUGCCAUACAUAUGCAUGCUAUUAUUUUCUAUUUCUUUUUCAAAAUUAUUUCCCCCUUUCUUUUGGUUUAUUAUUCCCUUUUUGCCUUGUAACUAUCGUUCUUAUAUUACAUAACUGACUUUUCAUAUGUUGGUAAUAAAUAAUGAUAUGCUAGCAUUUGAACUUACGAAAUUUAGUGGGCCAAACAUACUGAGCCAUGCCAAAAAAGACAGGCAAAUCAUACAGUCAUAUUUUAGCAGCAGCAGUGCAUUAGCGCGGUGGGUACUGAGCCGGAGUUUGCAUGUGCCUGAAGGUGGCUGAAUGAAUAAGGUGGAUAUUACCCUACCCGCACCCAAAUCAAAAUGUGUAUUUUAUUUCUACCCAUACCCUCCCCAAUUAAUGCGGGUGUGGAUUUGAAUAUGGGGAUUGAAUAUCCAGCGGCAGGUAUAAAGAUUAGAUCUCCUGCCUCAGUGCUUCUCCAAGAUCUGGAAGCAGCUGCUUCACUCCUAUUUUCUGUAUCCUAGUCAAAACAAAGGAUUUUUCCAUGUAGCAAGCUAGUUGCUCUUUGUCAUUUGCUUAGGCAGUCUCUCAAUUCCUUCUGCUACUCUGUUUUUCACCCUUUCAGGAGGAAAUCCAGAAGAAAACAGGCUAUAUAGUGAGGCGGGGAGAUGGAACAUUUGAUGUUGAUGCAAAUACAUCAAUAGAUCACCUCUCUGAAGAGCUUGGUAUCAAAAUACCAGAGGUAUUGUUUCUCAUUUGAUCUUAGCUUUCUCUACAGUUGCUAUGCAUUCCCUUGGACAUGUGUAUAUUUAAGGAAGGUAUGGCUCGGAAAAUAGUAGAUUGAUUAUGAGUAGUACAAAAGGGUAGGCAAGGAUGAUCUGGGAUUUAUAGAACAAUACCCAAUCAGGGAGAUCCUUGCCUAAUAGCUAAUCAACUACAUAAAACCCAUGGAGGCAGGCUUAGGUGCCAGGGCCCAUGCGGCCAGCCCAAUAGCCCUCUGGAAACUCCAUUCUAACAUAUAUGUUGGAGUGGACACUGUAUGAUGAUCAUCGAAAUGUGAGUUCCAUCAUUUAGAGAUGCCUGGUUUGCAGAACCUAUACAGAUAUAACGUUAUUAUAUCUAUUUUUUGGUGGAAACUGGACAUUUAAUAUUUAGGUCAACAAAAUAUUCACAAAUGUUCUGUUUGUAAAAUAUGCCCUUGGUAGUCAUCAUUUAUAUGGUGCUCUGUAUUUCUGUCAUGUUUCUCGUAGAUUGGCUGAUAAUCUUGAGACACUUGGACACUAUCUUUUGGCAGGGGCAUCAGUAUGAGACGGUGUCUGGUUUUGUCUGUGCAUCUUUUGGCUAUAUUCCAGAAGAAGGUGGGAAAAUGCUUGUGAUUCUUGAAAAGGAUUACAGAGAAGAAAACGGUGAAUAUCAGGAGGAAGGUUCUGAUCGCCAAGAUGAUAGAGAAAAAACUCAAGCUUACGAACUUGAGGUAAUUGUUACAACUCCUUGUGUACUCUGUUUGCUCAAGAGUUCUAGUACCAGGUCAAUUAUUAUAAUGCGAUUAUCUUGUCAUCGCUAGAAAUCUUUACUAGUAUAUAUAACUAUUAUGAAUUUUCCUUCAUUACUUGAAAGCUGAAAGACACCACAAAAGCUUCAAUUUUCUUUGUUGAUGCAAUACCAUGAAACCUUUUUUGUUAAAUAACUCUCAUUAGAACCAAUUUUCCAUACAGGGCAUUUGGUUCUUAGAUCAUUUUAUAGGAUAUUUCGUACUAUAAGUAAGAACCAACUACUAUCCACAAUUACCUCUACAUGCUUGUUUGUGCAUAUAAAAAGACAACAAUACUCAGAAGGUUGCUGUAACAUGUCCACACUCCGCUUUUGUGGUGCUAAUACUACCGAACAUUUGUAAUUGCUUUUUUUAUUUGAAGCUAAAAAAAGAAAGUAUACAAAAACUAAUAGAUAAGAAAACCAACUACUCAAUUGUCAAUUCAGAAUUCAUACUGUGGGUUAUAAGGUUAUUUCAGUGAAAUUGUUUUGGUAUUGGUACACAACCUUUAUUAGUUGGUGCAACUCCCAUUUCCGGAAGUCUUCGUACACUUUAAUUGAAUUGCUGCAGCCCUAGGAAUCCAUAGUUUCUGUUUCACAAUUCACCCAAAGUUUCAUUCUUUGUUGCAGAAUUAAAUAACCUUCUGUAGUUGUUUUCACUACCUUUAUUACCUGGCUUCUCUUGCUCACAGAUAGUGGAAGCUAAUGCAAGGAAGGUGGGCAAAGUCCUAUUUAAGCCAAUAAGCAGUGAAUGUGUUGGUGUUGACAACAAGGGUGUGAACCGCCUGGUCUCCAAGAAGAUCAUCAAACGGAAGAAGCAGGGCUAUGAUGAUUCCUCCGGUGACGAGUAUCCAGAUACAACAGAGAAUGGCUGCCCUGCUGAGGCACUCUCCUACUCGGAUGGUAACAGUGCCUUGUUGGAAGAUGCAAGCAGUUCUAGUGCCAAGAGGUGACAAUAAAGGAACUCCAAGACCAUCGUACUACUGGUAAUAAUUACAGCACACCGUCACCGGUCCUAAUACCCCUUGUUACAACAGAAGAAGAUGAGAAGAACAUAGUAGUAGGCUACCCAAAAAAAAAAACUGCGAGAGCAACACCAAGAGGUUAACAGCAGUUUAAGGCAUUGCAACAUUUUUCAGUAGCAGGAGUAGCAGUAGUAGCAGUCUAGAGGUGCAGCGAGGUGUCGACGUCGACUUCACCAGAGACAUGUUUGUAGUUGUAGGUCUUACUGGGCCACAGCUCCACCGCAAUGGGGUCGCUAUCGCCGUGGAGCUGGAAGCUUUUGCAUUCACAGACAGUGGUUGGCACGGCCGGGAAUAAGGAGGCUGCGGCGGCAACAGCGGCAGUGGUUUCCCGCAGCGGCCUGCACGGGUAGAGCAGCUCCGGGUGGAAGAACCACUUGACGGGCAUCUCCCUCGGGGAGGCGGUGGCCGCAGGGCGGGGGGCGAGCACGUGGAGAAGCCUCUCCUCCCGCUUCUCCCUGAUCCUCUCCAGCUCCCUGAACCUCUGCUGCAGCAGGGCGAUGGAGGAGAACAUCACCUGGCCUUCGCUGCUCUGCACCCCCAUGAUGACUGGGCGAGAGGGGGAGCUCUCACUCCAGCUCCGAGUUUCAGUUACGUGUUCGUGUCGUGUGUAUCUCACUCAAGCGUCUGUCUACUUCGCUCGGUGUGUGUGGGGGUUUUGCUUGCUGCUUGAAGGGGUGGUGGUCUUGGGCAUGUGCGUAUUUAUAAGCCGCAAAGUUUUGUCACGGCGCAGGGCGUCGUCUUGUGGUCGUCUUGCAAGUUGCGCCAAUUCUUUCAUCUUCAUCUUCCAUUAUGUGAUGCUAUGCCUGUUUGUGUGUUUUGUUUAUGGGCUGAUUGAAAAACAAAAGAGGCACUAUUGGUAUGAGAGAGAAUCUGGGAGGAGAAUGUCACGUCGCCCGAGAAAGGAAGUGGGAGGCGUGCAGGUGAGAGAAUAAGGGGCGUGGCGUGGGAGAGUCCAAGGAAAUGGGGCUGUGGACGCUUGCGCUUGUUCCGUUCCUGGCGGUGGGAAUCGCCGUGUGCCGUUGUGAUGUGCGGGGUGGCCAUGAUUGCGCCUCUGUUUGUCUGUCACCUUUUUCCCUUGCGCAUUGCUGCAGCAGCAGGGCAGGGGAGAGGUCUGCAUGCCCUGCCAUGCCCUGCCCUGCUGCUCGUACUAGCUCGCUACUACUCCCUUCCCCCUCUCCAUCCAAACGGGCACUGCGAGCUUUUCCUGGUCUAUAAUGGCGUCGUUGGAGCUGUAGUACGUGCUGUUCGUAGCAACUGUGGGCAGCGCUUUCAGGUGUGGAACUGUGCACUCCAUGAGCCAUUGUCUUCGUUUGCGUGUGUGAACGUGUUGGAGAGUCUGGGAGCAGAAAGUCUGCGUUGAACGUUACUUCUUUGGGUCUUUGACUGGUGCGUCCAUAGAUCUGUGAAUGGGAGCGCUGAUUGCACGCUGCGUAGUACAGUGCGUUCGAGUAACGCUGAGACGGCGUGCUGCUUUGAAGUUUCAACUUUUGGUUAAUUCAGGAAAGUUGAUUGAUCUUAUGUUUUUUGACGGCCAGGUAAACACGGCCAAUUGCACCGGCGUCAAAAAGACCUCUGUCAUCCGAUGCUUUGGACAGUAAUUGAGAUAUUCGUAACAAAUGCUUCACUACCCGAAGAGAAAACUAGUUUUCGUUGGUUUCCGCAUUUUGUGAAAAUAAGAAAGGGCAUGUUUGAGUCAGAGUCGGGUUAUUAUAAUUGGAUUAUCGACUCUAAUAAUUAGAGUGCUAGAUUUUUUGUGGUGGAACCUAUCCAUUUCUUGCCUAGCCAGCCAACUAUCAUGAUGCUACAUGGUAUUUAAGUAACGACCAUUUUCUCAAAUGGUCAAGGAUUAUAUUCUUCUUUGAUUUUUUUUUCCCUUCAAGUGGCCUAGGGUUUUGUAGUCUAAUGUGAACAAUAUCAGGUGAAAACAAAAUAGCAUCAAAGAAUAGAUAGCCAAAAUGCCUAACGAAAAGGAAAAUUGUGGGUUACAUGUCUCAUGAAUUAUUUGAUGAAGUAGAAUAAGAUACGUUCGGUUAUUUGAGAGAAAAAAAAACUGCACAACAUAAAAAAAUAACUGUUUGCCUAGUUGGCUAAGAAAAAAUAUAGUGGGCUCCAUGGCUCCUAAGACUCUUUAAAUAUCAUGUAAAUGGAUAUAAAAGAAGUCAAUAAAUCAUUCUGCUGAUAUUGACUGAAUUAUUUGCUAUCAACAAUUAUCCAAAAAAGAUUUCUUUAAGAAUAAUAUUUCUACCAUGUAAAACAAGAAGAAAAAGACAAAUUAAUCGGAACUUUUGUUUGUGGCUGGAACUAUUGUAAAUGUCAUUGUUGAGUUGAGAUAUUUUUUUUUUGAAGUUCCCUUUUUGCGAGGAAUGAGUAAUCUGAACGUUAUUUGUUUGUGGUUGUUGAUUCCCUGGAGCUGUUAUAGAAGUCAUUAUUGAGUAGAGAUUUUUUGAAGUUCCUUUUUGCAACGAAUGAGUAAAUAGUUGCAUAGAUGUUUGAUGGUAUUAGCAUACUCUGCUUCUAAAAUAAUGAAAGGGAUUUUCCGUUACUAUUUAGUUGUGGACUGAGGCCUGAAGAAGUAUGUUUUGAAACUCGGAAUUUCAUGGAGGAUUUGUAGGAAUCCCAUAUAUAAUAAACAUGUCAAAAUUAAUCCUCCUAUAUUUUCUUGGUCAUUUUCUAGAGCUAGGCUCAUUUAUCUUUAAUUUGUCUAGUGAAGAGUAUAUGUAUAUCCUUUGCUCCAAACAUGUAGUGGUGAGUGGAGUUUACUAAUAUUAUUAUGUGUAGUUAACCUAGAACUAGAAGCUUGGUAACUGAGCCUUAUCUAAUCUGGCCCUAAACUAACUUAUCAUCCAAACUGAUCAGUUGGAGUCUUGUGACGAUGAUAUCUCUGGUUUGUUGUGGAACGGGACUAGUACUGCCGGACAUAUUAUACAUUGGAUGCAUGCGACAUAUAUACAGUGUUGAACUUGUUUAUAUUAAUUUAUCCUGGAUAGCCAAUAGUAGCCCAUAACAUUAACAUGCAACAUAGUAUAUGCAUUUGCAUGUACUGCUAGUUCCCUGCUACGUACGAUCCUGACAGUAGGCACCUAAUCUUUCCAUGCCCCAAUAUUUUACCGCCGCUGUCGCUUCCAUUCUAGAGAGAGAACAAUAUGACCAUCUUGUAAAACAUUCUAGAGAAGAGAUGCAUGGAGAGUAUGGCAAUAAUUUAAGCAGAUUGAUGGGAGCGAGAUAUUUUUAAAGGCAGAUCAUCGAUUGAUGCAUGGGAGCGAGAGAGCUUAGCAGAGAAAAUAAAGAAGAUUGGUGAUUGGUGAUAGGCCGGGGCAGCCGUGGUGCAGCAGCAGCUAGAACUAGAGAAGCUAAAAGGAAGGCUGAUGGCAGGGCAGGGCAGUAGUUUAAGGACGGGUCCAUGCCUGCAGCUAGCUAGCAUCUAUCGACGUUCCUCCGUUGUCGCGGAGCCGGUGGACGCGAAUGGCAUGCGUGGGUGCACUACCCUGCUGAUGCACACAGCAUGCAUUGCUGCCUGCAUGCGACAUGGUAUACAGCUCCCGGCCGGCGUCUCUCCUCUCCUCUCUUCUCUUCUCUUGUCCAUCCAUCGGCAGCAUACGGUCGGUCACUCGCAGCAUGCAUGCUCCUCUGAUCGAGCUCUGCUGGUGUCGUGUCGUGUCGUCGAUGGAUCGGGGCCGGGUUGGGUGUUGCUGCAUUGCAUGCUCCCUAAAGCGCCGCCCUUGUUGCCAAAGUGAAUGCUGCCGACGACGACCGCCGCGCCGCCCGUCUUCUUUUUCGGCGGAGGGGGGCGGCCGGGCACGGGCACGGGCACGGCACAGUCUUCCGGGCAGGGGCAGGGGCAGCCGGGCAAGCCAACACCUGCUAGCGGACGAGAAAUUGAAUCGAAUGGGAAACAAAGAAAAAAUUGAUGGCUGAUGGCUCCAUCUUUCUUUCUGUCUGUCUGUCUGUCGGUCAGUCAUUUUACUAAUUUAUUUGACUGCGCUACGGAGACGACAGUGUAACAUUUUUAUUUGUAUUUAAUAAUUAUUAUUUAACUAUAGACUAAUUAGGCUCAAAAGAUUCGUCGCGUAAACUAUAGACAAACUGUGCAAUUAGUUUUUAUUUUCGUCUAUAUUUAGUACUUUAUACAUGUGCCACAAGAUUUGAUAUGACGGGAAAUUUUAAAAAGUUUUUGAAUUUCGAAGUGAACUGGUCAAAUAUGCAAUGCUUGUACGUGCGCACUAGUUUAUGCCAAUGAUUCAUUUUUCGCGGAUCCUCCGAAUUUCACACCAUACAGUCAGAAUAUAAUUGCUCCAAGACACGUCAAUUUUGAUGCGUCAAUUUGUGCAUGUGGUUCCUGGCACUACUGGAUCCGGCUUCUUUGCCGAGAGCCGCGAGCCCUCGGCAAAUGCCUAAAAGCCCUCGGCAAAGGCUUUGCCGAGGGCCAUAAACGCCCUCGGCAAAGCCUACGGCGCCGUCGAAAAACGUCAAUAUUGACGUCGUCUUUGCCGAGAGCCAUGCUGGCAGGCUCUCGGCAAAGAUUCUUUAUUUUUUUUAAAAAAAGCCUUUGCCGAGAGCCCUGCAGGAAGGCUCUCGGCAAAGAACCCCUUUGCCGAGAGCCAGACAUCCAGGCUCUCGGCAAAGAACCCCUUUGCCGAGAGCCAGACAUCCAGGCUCUCGGCAAAGCUGUAGUUCUUCUGAACCCGGCUUUCUAUCUUUGCCGAGUGCCAGCCAUCCAUGCUCUCGGCAAAGCUGAGAAUUUAGUUUUUUUUUCUGUUUUUUAUCUGUUUUUUACAUGCACAGCCACAUAUGUAUAUAUAUAUAUCACAAAUCCCUUUGUCUAUAUCACAAUCCACAUAUAUAUCACGCAUGAAACAUAUCGAAGUCCACAGAUAUCACAAAUCCACAUAGAUAUGACAAAUAUAACAUUACGUCCAACAUAAACCAUAAGUCACCACAAGUUCAUAACAUAAACCACAAGUCCACGUGAAUAUCACUCCUCGAAGUCGCUAGCGCCUCACCCCUAGUGCUGUGACUCUGACCUGUCGUCGCCGUGGCCUCCGUCGUGUCCCGAGCCUCCAUCUGGCCAAGCCGACCAGGGUGAGUGCCCCCCAGGGUGUGUAGAGCUCGCACCUGCCCACGGCGCCCACAUGGCCUGCCCUGGCACCGACGGGUACGGGUACGAGUACCCGGGGCGCGGAGGAGGGCUGCCGGACAACCCGGGGUGGCCGUGCUGCGGAUGGGCACCAGGCCACGUGUGCUGCGUACUUGGGUGGCCAUAAGUAGUAACCUGCCACCCACUCCUUGGAGAAGGGGUCGGGUUCGAACCCCACGACUGAUGCUACAUAAUAUAAAAGCGAACUCAUUAGUAUCUGCAGGACGGCCACACAAGCCAAAGCAAUAGACAAACAUAUAUACACUCACCGGACUGCCUGCAGGGGCAGGAACAGGGGGUGGAACAGGGGGUGGAGCGAAGAGCGAGGCAGGCAGCGGAGGCGCUGUAGAGCUGUGGAUGGACUGGAAGUAUCCGACUAGGUCCGAGAUCUGACGCUGCGUGUGCUGCUGCUGUGCCUCCAUGUGGCGCCGAUGGGCCUCGUCUCUGGCCGCCAGCGCGGCCGCCAGCUCUCGCCGAUGAGCCUCCUGCAGCUCGUCCUGCCUGGCCCGCAACUCCUCUAGCUGCGACUGCAAUAUUACACCCGCAAUGGUUAAACAAUGCAAAAGGAGAUGUAUAUAUGUAAAAAUAAUGGACGAUGGAUAAAGCUGUAGUUACCUGCAUCGUAGCUAUCUGCUGCACGGAGCUCGGCUGACGAGGCCGUAUGGGGACGUCGGAGGUCGAGCUGCUCCCCUGCCGAACCUCGCGGAGCGUGGGUACGGUGGCCGGGUUGAUUGCGCUGUGGGCAAUCAUGUACCGGCCGUGCUGCUUCCCUCCUCCCGUCCUCAUGAGCAAGUCCGUGUCCGAGACCCUUUGCCGUGGGCCGUCCAGUCUGGCUCUCGGCAAAGACCCUUUGCCGUGAGCCUAACGCGCAGGCUCUCGGCAAAGAACUGCUGACUUUUUUUAUUCUUUUUGAAUUUAGAGCUGAGUUUUUUUUUUUGUCCUUGUGACUCAAUUUCUAAAUACAUUUUAAAAUUUGGCAUUAAUUUGACUUUUUUUGCUAUAUUUAACUAAUUAAUCUUGUUUCUUUAUAUUUUUUCACAUAAUUCAAAUUUCAACUGUAGGUACAUGAAAUAUUACAACUCAAUGAUUCGAAAAAUGAUAGUCAAGAUAUUUGGUGUACGUUGAGGUCGUAACCACAACCACACAUGAAAUCUCAACCCUCUCGCUAACAUAACAUGUCAAGGAAUGUGAGGGAAAAUGGAUUUAUAAUUAUAUAAAUUUCAAAUAAACUCCAAAAAUCACGAAACUUGGCGACGUGUCGUGUUAUCGCAUGUGGAGGCUGUGGUAAAAAAUUCAUAAGGUUCCGAGCAAGUUGCGACACCGGAUGUCUAAAACCCAGACAUCUCCACAUGUUAUCGAAUGUGAUCACAUGCGGAGAUGUCUGGGUUUUAGACAUCUCGUGUCGCAACUUACUCGAAACCUUAUGAUUUUUUUACCACAGUCUCCACAUGCCAUAACAUGACACAUCGUCAAGUUUCGUGAUUUUUGGACUUCAUUUGGAAUUUAUAUAAUUAAAAAUCACUUGUACGACACAUGGAUGGUCAUGUUUUAUAUACAAGAAAUUCAAACUCUUGGGUGAGUUUAUGGAUACAACAUCAAAAUGCAGUCUUGAACAUGAGUAUAAUUUUUUGAAUGACUAUAUUUUAUUAUUUCAUGCUCCUACAGUUCAAAAUUACUUUUUCGAGAAAAAUACAAAUAAAAUAAUUUAAUUAAAAAAUAUAGCAAAAUGUUAUAAAAAGCUCUCAAAUUUGAACAUGUGCUUAUAUACAAUAUGUAAGGGUUACAGAAAAAGUUUGAGUACAAAACUAAAAAAAAUCUUUCUUCUUUGCCGAGAGCUUGACAAGGCACUUGGCAAAGGCCUCCUCUUUGCCGAGAGCCUAACGCCGUGGCUCUCGGCAAAGGUGACGACAACGGUUGCCGUUACCAGCGCUGCUCCUUUGCCGAGAGCCUAUCUUUGCCGAGAGCUAGGCUGUCGGCAAAGCUAGCCUUUGCCGAGGGCUUGCCUUUGCCGAGAGCUUGACCAUCGGUAAAGUUUCUUUGCCGAGGGUCGUUUCUGACUGUCGGCAAAGGCAGUCUUUGCCGAGGGCUAGCUCUCGGCAAAGCUGAGCCCUCGGCAAAGCUCUCGUUUCCUGUAGUGUGGGCUUUGAAUUGAUCGAUGGCAAAAAGCCGUAAUGGAAGCACGUCGCGUCUUGAAUGCAUGCACUAUAUAGGAAUAUAGCUACACAAAAGAAGAGAAAUAAUGACACACAUAGUAGUAGCUAGCUAGUAAAGUGUGUAUGUAAGGCCUUGUUUAGUUCCCAGAAAAUUUUGCAAAAUUUUUCACGGUCCCCGUCACAUCGAAUCUUUAAACGCAUACAUAAAGUAUUAAAUAUAGACGAAAAUAAAAACUAAUUGCACAGUUUGGUCGAAAUAGACGAAACGAAUCUUUUGAGCCUAGUUAGUCCAUGAUUGGAUAAUAUUUGUCAAAUACAAACGAAAGUGCUACAGUGUCGAUUUUGCAAAAUUUUUCGGAACUAAACAAGGCCUAAACCUAAAAGCCCAUGCAUUAUUGCUUUUUAAAAAGUUAAAGCGGUGAUGGAUGGUUUUGUUCAUGGCUCGAGGAGGAUGUGUCCUAGCUAGUUGUUGGUGGGGGAGGUGAGAGUACCUAGGAAAAUUUGCUUACAUUUUCCUGUACAUGCAUGCAUGCAACGCUAAUUGGAUGGAUAUGGUCGGAACAUGCAUGGGUCCACCAUUCACAUCUCUUGGUCCUACACGCACGCCUACUAUUGUGAUGCGUCUCAGCUUUUUAAUGUGCCUGCGUUGCAUGCAUGCAGCUGGGUACGUAAGGACACGCCGCAAGCUGCCCAAACUCUAGCUCUGCUUCCCGCAUUGCAUUGCAUUGUAUCUACCUCGUGGCGCAUUAGGGUUAGAGAGAGAGAGAGAGAGAGAGAGAGAGAGAGAGAGAGAGAGAGAGAGAGAGAGAGAGAGAAGUGUGGUAUAGCUAGCAUGCAUCCAUAUAUAUCCGAUCGACCUGUAGUUCAUGGCACAUUCAUUAGGUUUGGAAGAGUGAGAUCGAGGCAGGACGAUAUGUAGUACGUCGUCGUCCUUCGUAUAAACGGACAUUCGCUCAAUGUUGAAUUGUUGACAGACGACGAUGCGCGCGGCACUUUGUUUGACCAUGCAUGCAUUCAUCCGUGCAUGCAUGGAGCGUCUAUGUGCUUGUCCCUGAAUAAACUAAUUAAUCACUGCACGAACUCGAUCGCCUUGCUGUCAACUUAGCUUAGCUUAUUACAAGUGUGUUAACGACAAGCAAUCAUGGAAAUGAGCUGCAUAUAGACACUGUUCACAAUGCACGUUAUGUUGGAGCACUAGCUAUAGCUAAUUAAUGAGCCAGCAAUUAACAAAACGCCUGCUAAACCAAAAUAUGCAUUUAAGCCAUGUUUCGUUUCCUCCGGUAAAGUUUAACUCCUGUCAUAUCGAGUGUUUGGACACAUGCAUUAAAUAUUAAAUAUAAAUUAUUUACAAAACUAAAAUAAAACUAGAGAGUAAUUUGCGAAAUAAAUCUUUUAAAUCUAGUUAGUCUAUAAUUAGAUACUAAUUGUCAAAUAAAACAGAAAUAUGCUAUAUGCUACAGUACAUCCUUAACCGGCAAGUACAGGCCGGGUGAGGCAUGUCGGAUGCUAGAGAUGGCCAAAUGGGCUAAGCCCAAUAAUACGCAGCCUAAGCACAUAUGGGCCUACUAAAGCAUCGCAUUACAUUAUGGGUCGAGCCACUAUGUGUCUCGUGCCCUUUUUUACCAUUCAAAAUGGGUGCUCUCAGGAUGGAUCAUAAUUAUGCCCCUUUUUAAUUCGAGAGCAAUGUUGAUCAAAUUUCGUCGUAGUUGCAGCACAGCCAAAAAAAAAAACUAACAAAAAGAGCCUGUCAGACAACCCAUGGGCCAUCCCAGCCAGGCAAGCCUGGCCGGAAACGAUCAUCUACAGCACCGGACAAAGCGUCAGAGCCAAUCCUGGCCGUUAAUCACGCUCUGGCCCACAGGUCAUGGCUCAUCAACCAGGCUUAAGUGCUUGCCUCCUUAUUAAUCAAGGAUGCAGCGGUACGAUCCUAUAGAACAGAUCCUGUUCAAGUAAGGUCGU